rnacentral:lncRNA from 1 species
UACUAGAGUAACCCCGUUGCGGAAGUUACUACUGACCUUCUGCCGGUCAAGAGAGGCGAUCCAGGACGCCCCGUCAUCCCGAUUUCCAUCAGCAUGGUGGACUUCCCAGAAGCACUAUGCGACUUUGGCUCUAGUAUCAACAUUAUCCCCAGGGUACUCUAUGGAAAAUUCUUUACAUAUCCUUUAUUAGAAACAACCAUGUGUUUGCAGCUUGCAGAUCAGACGUUAAGUUUCCCAAAGGGAAUAUUGAAGAACCUUUGCGUCCGAGUUGGUACCUUGUACGCCCCAGCAGACUUCGUGGUGAUAGAGACCGGUAAUGAUGAGAGGGCACACGUCAUCUUAGGGCGGCCAUUCCUGAAUACCUCAGGAGCUGUCAUCUACACUAGUGCUGCCAAGAUCAGUUUCUACAUCAAAGGGAGGAAGGAGAUGUUUUCCUUCAAGAACAAGACUACACAAAUCCCAGAACAAUCUCGACAUGAACCAAGGAAGAGGACCAACAGGAAGAACAGGAACAAGCAAGUGUGGACCGAGUCAGCUAGGAUGGUCACUGCAGUUCAUGGAGGUUAAGAUCACUGACUCAAGUCACUGUUCCUGACCAAGAAGGACGACCCAGGUAUGCCAAGCAUGCAUUGCUCCAUUAAUGGAUACAACUUCUACAAGACACUUUGCGACACCGGGUCGGGCGUCAACAUAUUGGCCGCAGUCACCUAUAAGCUCUUGUUCGGAACCAUGCCCCUAAAACCAACAUAUAUUCAGCUCCAGAUGGCAGAUCAAACAUUCUGAAAGUUUGAAGGUAUAGUAACUGAUGUCCCUGUUAAAAUAGAUGAUCAUUUUGUCCAUACAGACUUUCAGGUUAUUGACAUGGGAGAAGAUGAGUACGAUCCACCCAUCAUCCUUGGGAGACCGUUCCUCAGCACCGUUAAAGUAAUUAUCUACAUUGGAACUGGAGAAGUCCACAUGCACUUCCCCUCUGAGAAGGUACGCAGCUACUUUACUAACCCUAACUAUAUAGUUGAAGACUCUAAGCAGGUCAGGACAAGAAGAAGACGACACAACCGCUAUCAGAGGAGGCAAAUCAUCAAGGAUGGAUGGGCAGCCUACGAAAAAGAAGUGGUAAGGUCUAAAGACAUACAGCUUGAACAGAAUUGUCCUAAGGAGGCCGUAGCACCGAGUCAGGUGUGGAGAGAGAAGAUAGUUAUACACAAAGAAGAGGCGCCGCCGGAACUACCGACUACGCCAUCCAACGAAUCCCAGGACGCUUGAGAAAACAGAGAGUCCCGUUCGGAGGACUUAAAAACACCGAACGCCUUGCCAAGAGGUAAACUUGGUAGUUAUCCUUUUCUUUUCAAUUAUUUAAAAUAGUUUGCUUAGUUAAUCAUGUUCAUACUAUCCUAAAAAGAAAAUAAAAAUGUUAAAAAAUAGUAAGCCCCAUGUGAGUAUAUGAGUGUCAUAAAACCCAUAAGUACAUUCACUGUGGUGGCAUAAAAAUAAAAUAAAUAAUUUUUCUGCUUUAUAAAAUGAAAAUAUAAAAAAUAGAGAGUAACACUUAUUGAGGAGGCUCAACAUGAUAAAGGCUAGAUAUUUAUGCUAACACCUAAUCAGUUCCACAAAGCUUUGUUGUCUAUUUGAGCUCCACAGAAUUCAAGGAUCAAGAAGACUGGCAGACGAAGGACAUUCUAAUCGCUGUCACGGUACUGCCGACUUUCAAAUACACCUUUGCCACCUGCUAUCUAUAUCAGAAGAAAUUACUUCAAAAUUCAGCUUGGGGGAGAGCACCCCCAUUUAUCUCGCUAAGUAUUUCUAUCUAUAUACUUAUACUAUAUUAAAAUAAAAAUAUACAUAACCAUGAAAAACCAAAUAAAGAUUUUGUGUUUAUAUAUAUAUAUGUCUUUUGCUUAGUGUGCUUAAUAAAUAAAUAAAGUGGCUAUGCUAAACUGAAUCUAAAUAAUUUUCAAAUUUGAAGUUCUCUCUAGUUUAGACAUAACGGUUAUAAUUUAAAGCUUGCUCUAAACCUGAACUUGUGGGAAGAGAACUUGAUCUGAAGUCUAAGUUGUUAACGGAUAUGAUAUGGGAAGGUUGAGCUGCUGUUUAUCUGUUCCUAGAGAUGCUAGAAUUAUGGAGAAUUUUAUCGUUGAAAUUCUUUAAAAUAACACAUGAUGAGUUCCUGUAUGAUGAGAGUUUAAAUUCCUACCACAACCAUAUAUACAUGCUUGCUAGACUUUGAGCCACACAUUUACUUUUUACUACUUAUGAGCAUUGAGUGUGGUCAAGCUGUGUAGACCCUUAGGAGCUUGUCCUGUGGUUCAAUCAAGAUUCACUUGCACGUUCACUCACACAUGCUGCUUCUACUCCGAAAGUACGCAUCCACAUAUAUCCGCUCAUUUCCAUCUCCAGAACCACCCAAAAGUAUUAUACUCCUAAUCCGGGAGAGAAUAAUCAAAAAUAUUUCUGUUUUUCCCUGUAAAAUAAAUGCUCAAGUUAUCUUGGUUACUACCACUUGCUAUAUUAUUUUAGGAUAGAGUGCUCUAAAAAAAGAGAAAAAGAUACGAGGAAAUAAAAAGGGGCAAGUGCCCGGAACCUCGAAAGAAAAGAAAAAGUGAGACGAGAGGUAAAAAUGGACAAGUGUCCGAUAGUAGAAUUAGGGGUACAAGACACCCACCUGAGAGGAAAGAAAAAUAAAAUAUAGAGCAUCUCAUUCUCCUCAAAAAGUUUCAAAAGAGCAAGAAAGGUAUGUAUCUGCUCAAAAGGGCAAAAAGUAGAAUUAGACUUUCACCAUUGUUAUCACCAUCAUCACCAUACACCAUUCAUUCGCCACACAUGCACAUCUUGAUUUGACUUAUUGACUUGUUUCUCUGGAUCCAUGGUUUGACUAUGCAAUAAAUGUCUUGUAAGUAUGUAUACUUUAUCUUCCACCUAUGAGCUCGAGAUAUCAAAAGCCUUAUUAGAGUAGGAUGAGAGAGAAGGCAAUGUCACUAUGCCUUAUACCACAAAUACUACAUACUUUGAGAGAAGGCAUGUACCGUCACUGCCUUGGUAAGGAUCCAGAAAUGCCACAAAAGAGAGACCUGAGAGAGUCAUACAAGGAAUCUCUGAGUUUUAUUUGAAAAUCUGCAAAAACUCCAGAGCUAUAGCUGAUCAAGAAUAAGAGACAUGGCACUUGACUAGACCGUUCUAUCUUUUAACUGCUCAAGACAGAAGUGACGGUUACAAGUCCCAUGGUGAAAGGUAAAAUGAGUAAGUUUUAAAUCUUGACAGUUUACUCAAACUCAGAGAUGAGACCUCAUUUGAAAGCAUGUGUACCGUCAACUUUUAAAGGCAUUAUAGCAACUUCUGAUCCAUCACUGAGAUUAUCUUUGCUCAGGGACGAGCAAGAGGUAAGCUUGGGGGAGUUUGUUGACGGUCCUUAAGUAUCAAAUAUACUCAGCAAAUAAACAAAGAAAAGGAUCCAAAUGCAACCAACAUCCAGAAUUAGGGUUUUAUCUCACAGAAUUCCACGAGUUUUGGUGUUUGUCUAUUUCUGUAGGGGGUUAUCAGGAAUUAUGGAGGAAAGGCCCACAUGUCGGGUUUACAUAGAGAUAUAACGUGCACCACAAUUAUCCAACAUCUAGAAGAGUCCAGAAGCAACGGGAACGAGCGGGAGGCCGAUCGGGCCCGGGGGCAGGGCGCCCGCCCUCCCCCCUUGGGUGCUCGCCCUGGCCUGAGGGCCAAUCAGCUUCCGUCUCGCGGAUCAUGCUCCACCGACCUAAGGGGUUAAGGAAAACCUUGCGACUAAUGUCGGUUUGAUCCAACAGCCCAUAUUCAUUUGAAAGGACUAUAUAAGCAAACCCCCUGGCCCUGGAGGAGAGAGCGAAGAAACCCUAAUUCAUUUAUCCAUCUCGGGAGAAGAAGCCUCUGAUCAAGCCCUAGAGCCACCACAUCAAUAGAUCAAGUUUAGCAUAGCUACAUAGGAUUAGAACUAGAAGGAGUCAAUCUUCGAUUGGUUUCCGGAUCUAUCAAGAGGAUUCUUGGUAAUUCCUCUAUUGUUCAUCAUUGUUCUUCAAUAUUAUGAAUAUGACUUUGUUCUACUUCAAUAUAUUGAUUAUGACUUUGCUCUACUUGUUUAUAUUUGCAAUUAUAUUGUUCUUAGUUUACAUAGUUAUAUGCUUGGCUUAGUUAGAUUAGAAUUAAAUACAUGUUUAGGAUCGUAUAGCGUUUAUCCAUGUGUACAGUGGGUAAAUGGUAAGUAUUGUGUAGGCGUGCUGCCUAUACCGUAUUUAUCUACGAUUGUACCCUAUAUGCCGGAUCGCGGGGCAGUUCAUGGUAGUGACAGCUCCAUUGAUUCUUAUAUAGUCCCUCACUCGUGUAUAGGGCAGGCAGAGCAACAUUAUUAUAGGAGAGUGAUUUCUAUGUUUCUCAUAUUCCUUGAUAAUAUCACUAUGCAUGGGCGUAGUCCUGUCUCGCAAUGAUUGCUAAGUAUAAUUGCACUAACUAUGAUAUUCUAGACUUUAUGGUUAAGAAUAACUUAGGAAAUAUUCUUGUAGUUCAUCCUAAUACCAUGCUAAUGACUUACUAGAAUAUCUAUUGAGGUUCUUAUCAUUAUUAUAUGUGGCUAGUUAUGCUGAUCAAAUUAAUUAUCUUUGUCUCCAUUCAUACUUUAUCUAUCUUUUAUGUGACAUUUAUCCCUGUAUGAAAGAGAUAGAUAAAUGCUCUCAAUUAUACUUGCAAUGAUAGAUACUCAAUUCUAUAUUCCAUUCCAUAUUCAACAUUGAUGAUUAGAAAUCCCUUCCUAGUGGUAAAAAUAUAAAUAACGAUACCUGGAAUACUUACCGGUUAAAAUGCUACAUCGGUAUUAAUCUGUGCGCUUGCAGAUCUCAUUUAUUAUUCAUUUAGAAGAGCAAUUGCAUAUUUCAAUACCGCAUCUCUCAUGUCAUGCUGGGGAUGAUAACUUGGCUUAAGUGGCAUGAGGGAUAGGUUCAGCAUUUUUGGCGCCGUUAUCAGAAUUAGAAAACUAAGUCUACUUUUGGUAAUGACGUUGAGAAUGCCCAACAGUGGCAUGUCUGAUGCUUAGCGUCUAAUGCAUCCGAUGUUUGCUCUAGAAGUUCAUUAACGCUUAAGUGACCGUUGGCGGUCAACGGUGCAUGUUCAAAGAGGGACACAUGGCAGCAAUCUAACGCGCACAACAGGUGAGCGUCGGACACUGGACCACGUGUUGACGGUAAUUAACUCCAAUUUUUAACCAUCAAUUAAUCUAGGAAGAGAUCUGAAACAAUGUAUAAAGUAGGGUUAUAGGGUUUAUUCUUAUGAGUUCCAUGAGUUGUGUUCUUCUCACUUGCCUUAUAGGAUAUUUAAUAUUUUUACCGUAUAAAAGUUUCUCAAGUGGAGAAUCUGAGCACACCAUUGCAGAGAUCGUUGGGACAAUCGAGACGAACAUAUUAUUUGCUAUAUUUGGAGCACCGAAGAGAAAGUCCUCAUUUUGGGACGACCAUUCCUCAGCAUAGUCAAAGCCAUCAUCUAUUCCGACACUGCUAAGAUCUGUUUCACCAUUGGGAAUACCAAGGAGAGAUUCAACUUCAAGCAUCGUAUGCUCACAUCUCGAGUUCAUCCUCAAUGCUUGUAUGACUACUUAGACUACAACAAAAUCCCAUAAAGGAAGAACAAGAUUCUAGAGAAGAAGUCUCAAGAAAAUAAGACCCUAGUUAAGAAGAACGUCUACACUUAUGAGUGCCUCUUACCUAGUCCAAACAAGGAUAAGAAGGGGAAGAGAAAAGCAAAGCAGCCUGUUCAAGAACUAGUUUGGAUGGUCAACACUGUUGAACCACCCAUUGACCCUACUUUCCUCUAUCUCACCUUGAGAAAAUGGAAGACCCUGGAGUACCUACCAUUGAUUGCAUGAUUGAGGGGAGCACCAUCUACAAGAUAUUUUGUGACAUCGGCUCAAGCAUCAACAUCAUGUCUACAGUAACAUAUAAAUAUUUAUAUCAUGAUAGACCUUUGUGCCCAACAUAUUUACAGUUGGAGCUAGCGGAUCAAACAUUCUAAUUUUAUGGAAGGAAUAGCCAAGGAUGUAACAGUCAAGAUCAGGGAUCAAGAGAUUCCCGCGACUUCAUGGUUCUAGACAUGGGUGUUGAAGAUGAAGUCCACCUUAUCCUAGGAAGACCGUUCCUUCACACCCGCGAUCAUCUACAUGAAGCAAGGGGAAAUUCAUUUCCACUUCCCCAGGGAGAAGGUACUGUUGGGUAUUCUUAACAUCAUUACCAAAAGUAGACUAAGUUCUCUAAAUCUAGUAACUGUGCCAAAAAUGCCAAACCUAUCCCUCACACCACUUAAGCCAAGUUGUCAUCCCCAGCAUGACAUGUGAGACGCGGUAUUGAAAUAUGCAAUUGCUCUUCUAAAUAAAUAAUGAAUGGGAUCUGCAAGCGCACAGAUUAAUACCGAUGCAGCAUUUUAACCGGGAAGUAUUCCAGGUAUCGUUAUUUAUAUUUUUACCACUGGGAAGGGAUUAACAAUCAUCAAUAUUGAUUACAGAAUAGAAUAUGAGAUUGAGUAUCUAUCAUUGCAUAUAUAAUUGAGAACAUUAUAUCUAACUCUUCAUACAGGGAUAAGUGUCACAUAAAAGAUAUAUGAAGUAAUAAUAGUGACAAAGAUAAUUAAUCUGAUCUAGCCACAUAAUAAAUAUGAUAAGCACCUCAAUUAGAUACUCUAGAAAGUCAUUAGCAUGGUAUUAGAACGAACUACAAGAAUAUUUCCUAAGUUAUUCUCAACUAUAUAGUCUAGCAUAUCAUAGUUAGUGCAAGCAUACUUAGCAAUCAUUGCGAGACAAGACUACGCCCAUGCAUAGUGAUAUUAGCAAGGUAAAUAAGAAACAUAGCAAUCACUCCCCUGUAAUAAUAUUGCUCUGCCAGCCCAAUACACGAGAGGGGGACUAUAUAAGAAUCAAUGAAGCUGUCACUAUCACGAACCACCCCACGAUCUGGCAUAUUGGGUACAAUCGCAGAUAAAUACGGUAUAAGCACCACGCCUACACAAUAUCUAUCAUUUACCCAUGGAUCCGAUGGAUAAACGCUAUACGAUCCUAAGCAUGUAUAUAGAUCCAAUCUAACUAAGCCAAGUACAUAACUAUGAUAAACUAAGAACAAUAUAAUCUUGAAUAUAAGCAAGUAGAGCAAAGUCAUAAGCAAUAUAUUGAAGUAGAACAAAGUCAUAUUCAUAAUAUUGAAGAACAAAGAUAAUUAGAAAGCAAUUAGAAGCACAAUUAGAGAACUACCAAGAAUCCUCUUGACAGAUCCGGAAACCAAUCGAAGAUUGACUCCUUCUAGUUCUAAUCCUAUGUAGCUAUGCUAAUCUAGAUGUCUAAUUGAUGUGGUGGCUCUAAUCUUGAUCAGAGGCUUCUUCUCCCUUGAGGAACAAUGAAUUAGGGUUGAGAGGCUCUCUCCUCUAGGGGCCAGGGGGUCUGGUUUUAUAGUCCCUUCAAGUGAAUAUGGGCUGUUGGAUCAAACUGACAUAGAUUGUAUGGUUUAGAUUCAUCCUUUAGGUCGGUGGAGAUCUCCCACGAAGCAGAGUCCUGAUUGGACUCAGGAGGUGGGCGGGCGCCCUGAUCACCUGGGCGGGCGCCCAGGGUCAGGCCCCCUUUCGCCUCCGCUUCGGUCUCGUGGCUUCUGGAGUCUUCUAGAUGUAAGAUAAUUGCGCGACACGUUAAUAUCUCUAUGUAAUCCCGACGUGUGGGCCUUUCUUCCGUAUUUCCUGAUAACCCCCUGCAGAAAUAGACAAACACCAAAACUCGUGGAAUUCUGUUAGAUAAAACCCUAAGUCUAGAUGUUGAUUUCAUUUGGAUCCUUUUAUUUGUUUAUUUGAUAAUUAAAUUUGAUACUUAAGGACCGUCAACAAACUCCCCCAAGCUUACCUCUUGCUCGUCCCUGAACAAGGAUAGACUUAGCUAUGGAUCAUAAGUUGUUGCAUUUUUUUUUAAAAUUUGACGGUACACAUGCUUUUUUUUAAAUAAGAUCUCAUCUCUGAGCUAGAGUAAACUGUCAAGACUUAAAACUUACUUACUUUACCUCUACCAUGGGACUUGUAACUGUCACUUCUGUCUUGAGUAGUUAAAAGAUAGAACAGUCUAGCCAAGUGCCAUGUCUCUUAUUCUUGAUCAGCUAUAACUCUAGAGUUUUUGCAGAUUUUCAAAUAAAACUCAGAAUUCCAUAUAUGACUCUCUCAAAUCUCUCUUUUGUGGUAUUUCUGGAUCCUUACCAAGGCAGUGAUGGUGUAUGCCUUCUCUCAAGAUAUGUGGCAUUUAUGGUAUAAGGCAUAAUAACAUUGCCCUCUCUCUCACCCUACUCUUAUAAGGCUUUAAUAUCUGGAGCUCAUAGGUGGGAAAUAAAAUAUACAUACUUACAAGACAUUUAUUGCAUAAACAAACCAUGGAUCCAAAGAAACAAAUCAAUAAGCCAAAUCAAGAUGUGCAUGUGUGGCGAAUGAAUGGUGUAUGGUGAUAACAAUGAUGGAAACAAUGGUGGUGGAAGUCUAAUUCUACUUUGCUCUUUGAGGGGAUACAUACCUUCCUUGCUUUUUGAAACUUUAUGAGGAGAAUGAGAUGCUCUUCUUUUUCUUUUCUCUCAGGUGGGUAUCUUGUACCCCUAAUUCUACUGUCGGACACUUGUCCAUUUUUACCUCUCGUCUCACUUUUUUCUUUUCUUUCGAGGUUCCGAGCACUUGCUCCUUUUUAUUUCCUCGUUUUUUUAGAGCACUCAUCUCAUGAGAUAAGAUAGCAAGUGGUAGUAACAAGAUAACUUGAGCAUUUAUUUCACAAGGGAAAACAGGAAUAUUUUUGGUUAUUCUCUCCCGGAUUAGGAGUAGAAUAUUUUUGGGUGAUUCUGGAGAUGGAAAUGGAUGGAUAUAUGUGGAUGGUACUUCCGGAGUAGAAGUAGAAUAUAUGAGUGAACGUGCAAGUGAAAUCUUGAUUUAACCACAUGACAAGCUCCUAAGGGUCUACACAGCUUGACCACACUCAAUGCUCAUAAGCAAUAAAUAGUAAAUGUGUGGCUCAAAGUCUAGCAAGCAUGUAUAUAUGGCUGUGGUAGGAAUUUAAAACUCUCAUCAUACAGGAACUCAUCAUGCAACAUUUUAAAGAUUUCCAAAGAUAAAAUUCUCCAGAAUUCUAGCAUCUCUAGAAACAGAUAAACAGCAGCUCAACCUUCCCAUAUCGUAUCCGUUAACAACUUAGACUUCAGAUCAAGUUUUCAUCCCACAAGUUUAGGUCUAGAUCAAGCUUUAAAUUAUAACAGUUAUAUCUAAACUUGAGAGAGAACUUAAAAUGUGCAAAUUAGGCAGAGCAACUAUUCAUCAUAUCCAUGCUUGAGUUUUAUUUAGAUACAGAUUAGCCAGUUAUAUCUAAACUUGAGAGAGAACUUAAAAUGUGCAAAUUAGGCAGAGCAACUAUUCAUCAUAUCCAUGCUUGAGUUUUAUUUAGAUACAGAUUAGCAUAGCCACUUUAUUUAUUUAUUAAACACACUAAGCAAAAGAUAUAUAUAUAUAUAAGCACAAAAUCUUUAUUUGGUUUUUCAUAGUUAUGUAUAUUUAUAUUCUAUAAUAAUAUAAGUAUAAAGAUAGAUAGAUAGAAAUACUUAUCGAGAUAAACGAGGGUGCUCUCCCCCAAGCUGAAUUUUUGACGUAAUUUCUCUUGAUGUAGCUAGCAGGUGGCAGAGGUGUAUUUGAAAGUCAGCAGCAUUCUGACAGCGAUUAGAAUGUCCUCCGUCUGCUAGUCUUCUUGAUUCUUAAAUUCUGUGGAGCUCAAAUAGACAACAAAGCUUGUGGAACUUGAUUAAGUGUUAGCAUAAAUAUCUAGCCUUUAUCAUGUUGAGACUCCUUAAUAAUUAUUACUCCCUGUUUUAUAUUUUCGUUUUAUAAAGCAGAAAAGAAAUUUUUAUUUUAUUUUUAUGCCACCACAGUGAAUGUACUUAUGGGUUUUAUGCCACUCGUCUACUCACAUGGGGCUUACUGUUUUUCACAUUUUUAUUUUUCUUUUUAGGAUAGCACGAACAUGAUUAACUAAGUCAACUAAUUGACAUAAUUGAAAGAGAAAGGAUAACUACCAAGUUUACCUCUUGGCAAGGCGUUCGGUGUUUUUAAGUCCUCCGAACGGGACUCCGUUUUCUCAAUUGUCCUGAGGUUCGUUGGGUGGCGUAGUCGGUACUUCCGGCAGUGCCUCCUCUUCAUGUAUAGUUAUCUUCAUUUUCCACACCUGACUUGGUGUUUCAAUCUCCUCUAGAUAAUUCUGUUUAAACUCUAUGUCUUCUGACCUUAUCACUUCUUCUUCGUAGUCUUCCCAUCCGUCCUUGAUGAUCUGCCUCCUCUGGUUGCGGUUACGUCGCUUUCUUACCUGCUUAGAUUCUUCAACGAUAUAGUUAGGGUCAGUAAAAUAACGGCGUACCUUCUCUAAGGGGAAGUGCAUAUGGACUUCUCCGGUUCCAAUGUAGAUAAUUGCUUUAACGGUGCUGAGGAACGGUCUUCCAAGGAUGAUUGGUGGAUCGUACUCGUCUUCUCCCAUGUCAAUAACUUGAAAGUCUGUGUAGACAAAAUGAUCGUCUAUUUUGACUGGGACAUCAGUUACUGUUCCUUUAACGUCUCGAAAUGUCUGAUCUGCCAUCUGGAGCUGAAUGUAUGUUGGUCUUAGGGGCAUGGUCCCGAACAAGAGCCGAUAGGUGACUGCGGCCAUUAUGUUGACGCCCGAUCCGGUGUCACAAGUUGCCUUGUAGAAGUUGUUGUAACGUCCCGCCUCCACGAGGCCGGGCCCGCUUACAUCUGGCAGCUUUUCUAGGACAUAGUCAGCCCCCACAGACCAACACUAGUCUUUUUUGCACACUUUGUCCUCACUCGUGCGCACCCAGGAAGUACUUCCCGGUCGGUCACCCAUCCCUAAAUUGCUCUAGGCCAAGCACGCUUAACUUUAGAGUUCUUUGGAGAUGGGCUCCCGGAAAAGAAGUUGCAACUUGUUUGUAUGAGUCUCCUAUUAAUCCUAUUAAGCCUUGGGCCGGGUGUUACAGUUGUAUCCAUUUAUGGAGCAGUAAAUGCUUAGCAUUCCUGGGUCGUCCUUCUUGGUCAAAAACGGUGACUUAAGUUGAUGAUCUUGGCCUCCAUGAACUACAGUGACUAUCUUAGCUGACUCGGUCCACACUUGCUUGUUCCUGUUCCUCCUGUUGGUCCUCUUCCUUGACUCACGUCUGGAUUGAUCUAGAAUUUGUGUAGUCUUGUUCUUGAAGAAAAAUGUCUCCUUCCUCCCUUUGACGUAGAAACUGAUCUUGGCAGCAUUAGCGUAGAUGAUAGCUCCCAUUGUGUUCAAGAAUGGCCUUCCUAAGAUGAUAGGGCUCUCUCAUCAUUUCCGGUCUCUACCACUACAAAGUCUGCUAGGGCAUAUAAGGUACCAACUCGGACACAAGGGUUCUUCAAUAUUCUCUUUGGAAAAGUUAUCGUCUGAUCUGCAAACUGCAAACACAUGGUUGUUUCUAAUAAAGGAUAUGUAAAGAAUUUUUCAUAGAGUACCCUGGGUAUAAUGUUGACACUGGAGCCAAAGUCAUAGAGUGCUUCUGGAACGUCCACCAUGCCGAUGGAGAUCGGGAUGACGGGGCGUCCUGGAUCGCCUCUUUUGAUCGGCAGAAGGUCAGUAGAGAAUUCAGUGACGGGGUUACUCCAAUUACCUGCAUCAAACAUGUCUACAAGAUUUGCAGAUUUCAAUCCUUUCGGUUGUGAUGGUAUACCGGGGUUAGUAGUAGGAACAGCAGCAGCUAUUUGAUUUAACUGAGAUUCAAUCAUUUUAUUAAAGCUAAUUUGAUUCUUGAUGGCAGUAGAGAAAUUAUCCAUUCUAUUAUUUAUAUUUUCUAGCAGUUUAUCAUUAGGUGCCAAUUUCUUAGAUAGGUUAUCCAUUAGCUUUCCUUGAUUAGACACUAACUCUCUCAGAGGUGGAAAAUUAUUAUUAUUGUUGUAAGAAUUGUUACCUUGAUAAUUACCUGAGUAGUUAGGCCUCUGUUGAUUCCAACCUUGAUUUUGUUGAGGACGGUUGUAGUGGUUGUUGUUGUUGAUGAUGAUGUAGUUCACAUCCUCAAGCAUCUCAGGGCAGUGAUUGCCUGAGUGUCUAGUGUCUCCACACUCCUCACAAGUCAUGUGAGAGUCGUAGAUGUGCAUAACUUCUUUCUUAUCUCCAGCUCUAUCAUCGAGCUUCUUCAUGAGCAGGUCUAGCUUUGCAGACAGCAUGUCUGCCUCCUUCAGCUGAUGCAUACCUCCACCUCUCUUGCGUGUCUGGGUCCUCUCUUCAUUCCAGCUUUGGUUGGACGCCAUCUUCUCCACAAGAGCUGUGGCUUGUGGUAUAGUAAGUGAUAAGAAUGCUCCUCCAGCUGCAGCAUCCAUGGUCUCACGGGCACUGUUGCCGAGCCCAUGAUAAAACGUCUGCAUCAAUAGCCAACUCUCCAUUCCAUGAUGGGGACAUUCUAGGAUGUAGUCUUAAAAGCGCUCCCAUGCUUCUAGAACAGAUUCAUCAUUUUGUUGCUGAAGACUCAUAAUCUUCCCACGGAGAGCAUUGGUCUUGCCCAUGGGAAAGAACUUUGCCAGGAAGUUUGUUGAGCAGAGUGCCCAUGUAGUAUUCUUCUCCUUUGUAGCGUAGAACCACUGCUUCGCUCUUCCUAACAGUGAGAAUGGGAAGAGGCGAAGUAGUAUAGCAUCUUUGGAAACUCCUGAUAUGGUGAAUGUGUUGCAAAUCUCCAGGAAGUGUUGUAAAUGAGCACUAGCAUCUUCGUGUGCCUUCCCACAGGCUUGAGCUCAAAGUUGCCAUCGAUACGUCCAUGCUUGAGCUCAAGGUUGGAUUGCACCAUGUUGAUAAGUCCAGGCUUGAGCUCAAAGUUGCCAUCGAUCUCUGCAGCAGGUCCAGUGCGGAUGUUGUCCGUAGUGGGAGCUGAGAACUCGCGGAUUGAUUUGUUCGCCCUGGCCUCGAACUCUGAAGACAAGUUCCGGUGAUCUUCUUGAUUGGAUGAAGCUUCUUGCUGAAGUGUUGAUGAUCUCUUCUUGAGCUUGGCUCUCGUCUUCUUGAAUAAUGCUUCGGGAUUGUCAACAAAAUUUCCUGGAAGAUGUCUUCUAUUCAUACAUUCCCCUGCAUAAGAUAAAAUAGAAAAUAUCAGGGUAAAACUGUAUGAGAGAAUAGAUAAGCUCAAUCAUAUUAGUGAUGCGAAUGAUAACUCAAAAUCUUUUAUUCCAUUCCUGAUUAGUAAUCAACCUUCCUCGGCAACGGCGCCAAAAAUGCUUGUUGGGUAUUCUUAACAUCAUUACCAAAAGUAGACUAAGUUAUCUAAAUCUAGUAACGGUGCCAAAAAUGCCAAACCUAUCCCUCACACCACUUAAGCCAAGUUGUCAUCCCCAGCAUGACAUGAGAGACGCGGUAUUGAAAUAUGCAAUUGCUCUUCUAAAUAAAUAAUGAAUGGGAUCUGCAAGCGCACAGAAUAAUACCGAUGCAGCAUUUUAACCGGGAAGUAUUCCAGGUAUCGUUAUUUAUAUUUUUACCACUGGGAAGGGAUUAACAAUCAUCAAUAUUGAUUACAGAAUAGAAUAUGAGAUUGAGUAUCUAUCAUUGCAUAUAUAAUUGAGAACAUUAUAUCUAACUCUUCAUACAGGGAUAAGUGUCACAUAAAAGAUAUAUGAAGUAAUAAUAGUGACAAAGAUAAUUAAUCUGAUCUAGCCACAUAAUAAAUAUGAUAAGCACCUCAAUUAGAUACUCUAGAAAGUCAUUAGCAUGGUAUUAGAACGAACUACAAGAAUAUUCCCAAAGUUAUUCUCAACUAUAUAGUCUAGCAUAUCGUAGUUAGUGCAAGCAUACUUAGCAAUCAUUGCGAGACAAGACUACGCCCAUGCAUAGUGAUAUUAGCAAGGUAAAUGAGAAUCAUAGCAAUCACUCCCCUGUAAUAAUAUUGCUCUGCCAGCCCAAUACACGAGAGGGGGACUAUAUAAGAAUCAAUGAAGCUGUCACUAUCACGAACCACCCCACGAUCUGGCAUAUUGGGUACAAUCGCAGAUAAAUACGGUAUAAGCACCACGCCUACACAAUAUCUAUCUUUUACCCAUGGAUCCGAUGGAUAAACGCUAUACGAUCCUAAGCAUGUAUAUAGAUCCAAUCUAACUAAGCCAAGUACAUAACUAUGAUAAACUAAGAACAAUAUAAUCUUGAAUAUAAGCAAGUAGAGCAAAGUCAUAAGCAAUAUAUUGAAGUAGAACAAAGUCAUAUUCAUAAUAUUGAAGAACAAAGAUAAUUAGAAAGCAAUUAGAAGCACAAUUAGAGAAUUACCAAGAAUCCUCUUGACAGAUCCAGAAACCAUUCGAAGAUUGACUCCUUCUAGUUCUAAUCCUAUGUAGCUAUGCUAAUCUAGAUGUCUAAUUGAUGUGGUGGCUCUAAUCUUGAUCAGAGGCUUCUUCUCCCUUGAGGAACAAUGAAUUAGGGUUGAGAGGCUCUCUCCUCUAGGGGCCAGGGGGUCUAGUUUUAUAGUCCCUUCAAGUGAAUAUGGGCCGUUGGAUCAAACCGACAUAGAUUGUAUGGUUUAGAUUCAUCCUUUAGGUCGGUGGAGAUCUCCCACGAAGCAGAGUCCUGAUUGGACUCAGGAGGUGGGCGGGCGCCCUGAUCACCUGGGCGGGCGCCUAGGGUGAGGCCCCGUUUCGCCUCCGCUUCGGUCUCGUGGCUUCUGGAGUCUUCUAGAUGUAAGAUAAUUGCGCGGCACGUUAAUAUCUCUAUGUAAUCCUGACGUGUGGGCCUUUCUUCCGUAUUUCCUGAUAACCCCCUGCAGAAAUAGACAAACACCAAAACUCGUGGAAUUCUGUCAGAUAAAACCCUAAGUCUAGAUGUUGAUUUCAUUUGGAUCCUUUUCUUUGUUUAUUUGAUAAUUAAAUUUCAUACUUAAGGAGCGUCAACAGGUACACUAUUAUUUUAAUAGUUAUACUACUUAUGAGAAGUCUAAGAAGAACAGGAAUAGGAGACACCGCUCUUAGUGUAAAAAAACAGCAAGCCAUCAAAGAAGGGGCUGAUCAGGAAGAGGAAGCUAAUGAAGGAUAAGCUGCUCUAGAGGCUAAAGAAGAAGAGAAGUUUCUUGAUGAGGAACUACACGAAGAGAAACCGAGAACCAAAAAAGUGUGGUGAAAGAAAUAGAUACCAUCACCAAGCACUCCAACAUAAGAAGAGGGAUCGCUAUCUCCGGGUUCACCAGAUACUCAGGUAUAGACAAAAAAGGAGAAAUCAAGGGAGGAUUAUGUCCCCUCAGACAUCCCCUCAAAUGCGUGAUCAAGCCAAAAGGUCCGAUUUGACAGAUCUAAAUCUCUGAACCUUCGCCGAAAGGUUACAUCGGCAGUUAUUAUCAUAUUUAGUUUCCAGCAUAAGUUUUUAUUUUAGCAUAUUUAUUUUCCAUAUUUAAGCCAUAAGCAUUCAGCAUGUUUAUAUUGCAUUGAAAAGAAAACCAAAAUUUAUUUUGUUGCAUCAUAGCAUUGCAUCUAAAAAACCUUAAGCCCCAUGUAAAUAAGUCUCGGCUAUUUACUAUGGAGGCAUAAAAAUAAUUUUGCAUCUGCAUACAAAAAUAGAAAACCCAAAAAAUAUACCGAGAGCCUGUAAAAAAUUGCUUAACUGAAAAUUAAUAAAGUUUCUAAAAUGGAUAAGGCAUAAAUGGUUUUACCACUAACGCUUAAUCUGUUCCACGAGCUUUGUUGUCUAUUAGAGGUAAGACAGGAUUCAACAAGAAUAGUUAGAAUUUUUCACCCACUCUGGAAAGACCUCUUCAUCAAUCAUCCACUUUUGGAAACCUAGAGGGACAGAUAACAUCUAUGUUAUCGAGAUUCAAGAUGAAGGACUACGUUAACAUCCAGCUUGGGGAGGAGCAUCCUCCAUGUAUCUAGCUAAGUAUUUUAUUUCCUUAAGUGUGAUUUAUUUUUUUAAAGAAAGAUAAAUAAACAAAAUAAAAAUAGACUAUUAUAUCUAUAUCUAUUAAAUUAUUAGGUAAUAAAAAGAGAGUGUACAAGUUUGUUUAACCUACCCUUGAAUAAUUAAGCUCUAGAUAACCUAUUUGCAUGGAGAUGAUGAAUAGUUGCUCUAUUGUAAUCCCUUUCAAGUGCUUAGUGUUCAACCCUACAUUCUCCCGAGUUUUAGGUUAAGAUUGUUUUGACAUGAAGAUUUGCUCUAAACCUGAAAACUUGUGGGUUGCCAAAAGCUUGAUCUAAGUCUAAGUGUUCACCAAGUAUCAUAUGAAAAGGUUUUCAGCUGCUAUUUAUCUUGUUCCUGGUAAUACUAGAUUUCUGAAUAUUUAUCUUUUGAAAAAUCUAAAAUUACCACAUGAUGAGUUCUUGUAUGAUGAGUGUUGACGGUCCUUAAUGCUCACAUUUAACCAUCAACUAAUCAUGGAAAAGGAUCCAAAUGCAACCAACACCCUGACUUAGGGUUUUAUCUGACAGAAUUCCACGAGUUUUGGUGUUUGUCUAUUUCUGCAGGGGGUUAUCAGGAAAUACGGAGGAAAGGCCCACACGUCGGGUUUACAUAGAGAUAUUAACGUGUGCGCCAAUUUUCUAUCAUCUAGAAGACUCCAGAAGCCACGGGAACGAACGGGAGGCCGAUCAGGCCCGAAGGCAGGGCGCCUACCCUCCCCCCUUGGGCGCCUGCCCAGCUACAGGAACCAAUCAGCUUCAACUUCACGGAUCAUGUUCCACCGACCUAAUGGAUCAAGGAAAACCUUGCGAUUAAUGUCGGUUUGAUCCGACGACCCAGAUUCACCUAAGGGGACUAUAUAAGCAGACCCCCACCAGCCCCUGGAGGCAUACCUCUUCUACAGAAUCAAAGUUAGGGUUUCAAUUCUUCAUCCAAGUAGAGAGGAUCCCUCUAGUUCAUCUAGUUCUAGUUCUAGUUCCUCUAGUUCUAGUUAGUUCUAGUUGUAAUCUAGAAAAUAGGCAGAGAGAAGAGGAGAACGGAGGAGGAGCCAGAUCUGUCGGAUCUUCCUCAAUAUUAUACUUUUGCAGCAACUGGUUCAUUCUUCAUCGUUCUCCAAGUUCUUCAAUUCAUAAUUAUUGAGUUCUUUAAUUACUUUUAUUUACAUUUAAGUUAUUUAUUGGAUUUCCGCUUGCAUCAAGUGCUCUAGUCUUUAUAACGCUAGAGUAGUAAUUAAUAGAUUAGACGUGGUGUUUAGUCUUGCAAUUACCUGGAAUUGCACCCAAUCCUGCGGAUUGUUGUGGUAGCCCUAGGGUAGUGACAGCCCUAACGGUCAACGUAUUCCACCUCGUUCUGAUCGGUGUUUGUAGGACCGUAGUCAGAGCUUCCUAGCCCCCUUCUCAUCUCUUUCUGUGGUUAGUGUUUUGAUGUCCCGAAAUAAAUAAUCUUUGAAGUAAUUCUUGAUUCUUAGAUCAACUAGAGAAAUCUCAGGAAACUUUCUCUGUUCCCACCAAAAAUAAUUAUAUAGUUAUCCUUGGGUGAUCUUGAAUCUUAAUUAGUACACUCACGUUCCCUGUGGAAAAUAGAUACUCUGGAAUACUCCCGGGUGAACGCUACAUCGGUAUCUGUGCGCUUGCGGAUUUUUCUGUUUGCAGUUAAAAUACCCAACAAGCUUUCUGGCGCCGUUGCCGGGGAACGGUAGAAACCGAGAACCAAAAAAGUGUGGUGAAAGAAAGAGAUACCAUCACCAAGCACUCCAACAUAAGAAGAGGGACCGCUAUCUCCGGGUUCACCUGAUACUCAGGUAUAGACAAAAAAGGAGAAAUCAAGGGAGGAUUAUGUCCCCUCAGACAUCCCCUCAAAUGCGUGAUCAAGCCAAAAGGUCCGAUUUGACAGAUCUAAAACUCUGAACCUUCGCCGAAAGGUUACAUCGGCAGUUAUUAUCAUAUUUAGUUUCCAGCAUAAGUUUUUAUUUUAGCAUAUUUAUUUUCCAUAUUUAAGCCAUAAGCAUUCAGCAUGUUUAUAUUGCAUUGAAAAGAAAAACAAAAUUUAUUUUGUUGCAUCAUAGCAUUGCAUCUAAAAAACCUUAAGCCCCAUGUAAAUAAGUCUCGGCUAUUUACUAUGGAGGCACAAAAAUAAUUUUUCAUCUGCAUACAAAAAUAGAAAACCCAAAAAAUAUACCGAGAGCCUGUAAAAAAUUGCUUAACUGAAAAUUAAUAAAGUUUCUAAAAUGGAUAAGGCAUAAAUGGUUUUACCACUAACGCUUAAUCUGUUCCACGAGCUUUGUUGUCUAUUUGAGGUAAGACAGGAUUCAACAAGAAUAGUUAGAAUUUUUCACCCACUCUGGAAAGACCUCUCCAUCAAUCAUCCACUUUUGGAAACCUAGAGGGACAGAUAACAUCUAUGUUAUCGAGAUUCAAGAUGAAGGACUACGUUGACAUCCAGCUUGGGGAGGAGCAUCCUCCAUGUAUCUAGCUAAGUAUUUUAUUUCCUUAAGUGUGAUUUAUUUUUUUAAAGAAAGAUAAAUAAACAAAAUAAAAAUAGACUAUUAUAUCUAUUAUCUAUUAAAUUAUUAGGUAAUAAAAAGAGAGUGUACAGGUUUGUUUUACCUACCCUUGAAUAAUUAAUCUCUUGAUAACCUAUUUGCAUGGAGAUGAUGAAUAGUUGCUGUAUUGUAAUCCCUUUCAAGUGCUUAGUGUUCAACCCUAGAUUCUCCCGAGUUUUAGGUUAAGAUUGUUUUGACAUGAAGAUUUGCUCUAAACCUAAAAACUUGUGGGUUGCCAAAAGCUUGAUCUAAGUCUAAGUGUUCACCAAGUAUCAUAUGAAAAGGUUUUCAGCUGCUAUUUAUCUUGUUCCUGGUAAUACUAGAUUUCUGAAUAUUUAUCUUUUGAAAAAUCUAAAAUUACCACAUGAUGAGUUCUUGUAUGAUGAGUGUUGACGGUCCUUAAUGCUCACAUUUAACCAUCAACUAAUCAUGGAAAAGGAUCCAAAUGCAACCAACACCCAGACUUAGGGUUUUAUCUAACAGAAUUCCACGAGUUUUGGUGUUUGUCUAUUUCUGCAGGGGGUUAUGAGGAAAUACGGAGGAAAGGCCCACACAUCGGGUUUACAUAGAGAUAUUAACGUGUGCGCCAAUUUUCUAUCAUCUAGAAGACUCCAGAAGCCACGGGAACGAACGGGAGGCCGAUCAGGCCCGGGGGCAGGGCGCCUGCCCUCCCCCGUUGGGCGCCUGCCCAGCUACACGAACCAAUCAGCUUCAACUUCACAGAUCGUGCUCCACCGACCUAAGGGAUCAAGGAAAACCGUGCGAUUAAUGUCGGUUUGAUCCGACGACCCAGAUUCACCUGAGGGGACUAUAUAAGCAGACCCCCACCAGCCCCUGGAGGCAUACCUCUUCUACAGAAUCAAAGUUAGGGUUUCAAUUCUUCAUCCAAGUAGAGAGGAUCCCUCUAGUUCAUCUAGUUCUAGUUCUAGUUCCUCUAGUUCUAGUUAGUUCUAGUUGUAAUCUAGAAAAUAGAGAGAGAGAAGAGGAGAGCGGAGGAGGAGGAGCCAGAUCUGUCGGAUCUUCCUCAAUAUUAUACUUUUGCAGCAACUGGUUCGUUCUUCAUCGUUCUCCAAGUUCUUCAAUUCAUAAUUCCUGAGUUCUUUAAUUACUUUUAUUUACAUUUAAGUUAUUUAUUGGAUUCCCGCUUGCAUCAAGUGCUCUAGUCUUUAUAACGCUAGAGUAGUAAUUAAUAGAUUAGACGUGGUGUUUAGUCUUGCAAUUACCUGGAAUUGCACCCAAUCCUGCGGAUUGUUGUGGUAGCCCUAGGGUAGUGACAGCCCUAACGGUCGACGUAUUCCACCUCGUUCGGAUCGGUGUUUGUAGGACCGUAGUCAGAGCUUCCUAGCCCCCUUCUCAUCUCUUUCUGUGGUUAGUGUUUUGAAGUCCCGAAAUAAAUAAUCUUUGAAGUAAUUCUUGAUUCUUAAAUCAACUAGAGAACUCUCAGGAAACUUUCUCUCUUCACACGAAAAAUAAUUAUAUAGUUAUCCUUGGGUGAUCUUGAAUCUUAAUUAGUACACUCACGUUCCCUGUCGAAAAUAGAUACUCUGGAAUACUCCCGGUGAACGUUACAUCGGUAUCUGUGCGCUUGCGGAUUUUUAUGUUUGCGUUUAAAAUACCCAACAAGCUUUGUGGCGCCGUUGCCGGAGAACGGUAGAAACCGAGAACCAAAAAAGUGUGGUGAAAGAAAGAGAUACCAUCACCAAGCAGUCCAACAUAAGAAGAGGGACCGCUAUCUCCGGGUUCACCAGAUACUCAGGUAUAGACAAAAAAGGAGAAAUCAAGGGAGGAUUAUGUCCCCUCAGACAUCCCCUUAAAUGCGUGAUCAAGCCAAAAGGUCCGAUUUGACAGAUCUAAAUCUCUGAACCUUCGCCGAAAGGUUACAUCGGCAGUUAUUAUCAUAUUUAGUUUCCAGCAUAAGUUUUUAUUUUAGCAUAUUUAUUUUCCAUAUUUAAGCCAUAAGCAUUCAGCAUGUUUAUAUUGCAUUGAAAAGAAAACCAAAAUUUAUUUUGUUGCAUCAUAGCAUUGCAUCUAAAAGACCUUAAGCCCCAUGUAAAUAAGUCUCGGCUAUUUACUAUGGAGGCACAAAAAUAAUUUUGCAUUUGCAUACAAAAAUAGAAAACCCAAAAAAUAUACCGAUAGCCUGUAAAAAAUUGCUUAACUGAAAAUUAAUAAAGUUUCUAAAAUGGAUAAGGCAUAAAUGGUUUUACCACUAACGCUUAAUCUGUUCCACGAGCUUUGUUGUCUAUUUGAGGUAAGACAGGAUUCAACAAGAAUAGUUAGAAUUUUUUACCCACUCAGGAAAGACCUCUUCAUCAAUCAUCCACUUUUGGAAACCUAGAGGGACAGAUAACAUCUAUGUUAUCGAGAUUCAAGAUGAAGGACUACGUUAACAUCCAGCUUGGUGAGGAGCAUCCUCCAUGUAUCUAGCUAAGUAUUUUAUUUCCUUAAGUGUGAUUUAUUUUUUUAAAGAAAGAUAAAUAAACAAAAUAAAAAGGGACUAUUAUAUCUAUUAUCUAUUAAAUUAUUAGGUAAUAAAAAGAGAGUGUACAAGUUUGUUUUACCUACCCUUGAAUAAUUAAGCUCUAGAUAACCUAUUUGCAUGGAGAUGAUGAAUAGUUGCUCUAUUGUAAUCCCUUUCAAGUGCUUAGUGUUCAACCCUAGAUUCUCCCGAGUUUUAGGUUAAGAUUGUUUUGACAUGAAGAUUUGCUCUAAACCUGAAAACUUGUGGGUUGCCAAAAGCUUGAUCUAAGUCUAAGUGUUCACCAAGUAUCAUAUGAAAAGGUUUUCAGCUGCUAUUUAUCUUGUUCCUGGUAAUACUAGAUUUCUGAAUAUUUAUCUUUUGAAAAUCUAAAAUUACCACAUGAUGAGUUCUUGUAUGAUGAGUGUUGACGGUCCUUAAUGCUCACAUUUAACCAUCAACUAAUCAUGAAAAAGGAUCCAAAUGCAACCAACACCCAGACUUAGGGUUUUAUCUGACAGAAUUCCACGAGUUUUGGUGUUUGUCUAUUUCUGCAGGGGGUUAUCAGGAAAUACGGAGGAAAGGCCCACACAUCGGGUUUACAUAGAGAUAUUAACGUGUGCGCCAAUUUUCUAUCAUCUAGAAGUCUCUAGAAGCCAUGGGAACGAACGGGAGGCCGAUCAGGCCCGGGGGCAGGGCGCCUGCCCUCCCCCCUUGGGCGCCUGCCCAGCUACAGGAACCAAUCAGCUUCAACUUCGCGAAUCGUGCUCCACCGACCUAAGGGAUCAAGGAAAACCGUGCGAUUAAUGUCGGUUUGAUCCGACGACCCAGAUUCACCUGAGGGGACUAUAUAAGCAGACCCCCACCAGCCCCUGGAGGCAUACCUCUUCUACAGAAUCAAAUUUAGGGUUUCAAUUCUUCAUCCAAGUAGAGAGGAUCCCUCUAGUUCAUCUAGUUCUAGUUCUAGUUCCUCUAGUUCUAGUUAGUUCUAGUUGUAAUCUAGAAAAUAGGGAGAGAGAAGAGGAGAGCGGAGGAGGAGGAGCCAGAUCUGUCGGAUCUUUCUCAAUAUUAUACUUUUGCAGCAACUGGUUCGUUCUUCAUCGUUCUCCAAGUUCUUCAAUUCAUAAUUCCUGAGUUCUUUAAUUACUUUUAUUUACAUUUAAGUUAUUUAUUGGAUUUCCGCUUGCAUCAAGUGCUCUAGUCUUUAUAACGCUAGAGUAUUAAUUAAUAGAUUAGACGUGGUGUUUAGUCUUGCAAUUACCUGGAAUGGCACCCAAUCCUACGGAUUGUUGUGAUAGCCCUAGGGUAGUGACAGCCCUAACGGUCGACGUAUUCCACCUCGUUCGGAUCGGUGUUUGUAGGACCGUAGUCAGAGCUUCCUAGCCCCCUUCUCAUCUCUUUCUGGGGUUAGUGUUUUGAUGUCCCGAAAUAAAUAAUCUUUGAAGUAAUUCUUGAUUCUUAGAUCAACUAGAGAACUCUCAGGAAACUUUCUCUCUUCCCACCAAAAAUAAUUAUAUAGUUAUCCUUGGGUGAUCUUGAAUCUUAAUUAGUACACUCACGUUCCCUGUGGAAAAUAGAUACUCUGGAAUACUCCCGGGUGAAAGCUACAUCGGUAUCUGUGCGCUUGCAGAUUUUUCUGUUUGCGUUUAAAAUACCCAACAAGCUUUCUGGCGCCGUUGCCGGGGAACGGUAGAAACCGAGAACCAAAAAAGUGUGGUGAAAGAAAGAGAUACCAUCACCAAGCACUCCAACAUAAGAAGAGGGAUCGCUAUCUCCGGGUUCACCAGAUACUCAGGUAUAGACAAAAAAGGAGAAAUCAAGGGCGGAUUAUGUCCCCUUAGACAUCCCCUCAAAUGCGUGAUCAAGCCAAAAGGUCCGAUUUGACCGAUCUUAAUCUCUGAACCUUCGCCGAAAGGUUACAUCGGCAGUUAUUCUCAUAUUUAGUUUCCAGCAUAAGUUUUUAUUUUAGCAUGUUUACUUUCCAUAUUUAAGCCAUAAGCAUUCAGCAUGUUUAUAUUGCAUUGAAAAGAAAACAAAAAUUUGUUUUGUUGCAUCAUAGCAUUGCAUCUAAAAAACCUUAAGCCCCAUGUAAAUAAGUCUCGGCUAUUUACUAUGGAGGCACAAAAACAAUUUUGCGUCUGCAUACAAAAAUAGAAAACCCAAAAAUAUACCGAGAGCCUGUAAAAAAAUUGCUUAACUGAAAAGUAAUAAAGUUUCUAAAAUGGAUAAGGCAUAAAUGGUUUUACCACUAACGCUUAAUCUGUUCCACGAGCUUUGUUGUCUAUUUGAGUUAAGACAGGAUUCAACAAGAAUAGUUAGAAUUUUUCACCCACUCUGGAAAGACCUCUUCAUCAAUCAUCCACUUUUGGAAACCUAGAGGGACAGAUAACAUCUAUGUUAUCGAGAUUCAAGAUGAAGGACUACGUUAACAUCCAGCUUGGGGAGGAGCAUCCUCCAUGUAUCUAGCUAAGUAUUUUAUUUCCUUAAGUGUGAUUUAUUUUUUUAAAGAAAGAUAAAUAAACAAAAUAAAAAGAGACUAUUAUAUCUAUUAUCUAUUAAAUUAUUAGGUAAUAAAAAGAGAGUGUACAAGUUUGUUUUACCUACCCUUGAAUAAUUAAGCUCUAGAUAACCUAUUUGCAUGGAGAUGAUGAAUAGUUGCUCUAUUGUAAUCCCUUUCAAGUGCUUAGUGUUCAACCCUAGAUUCUCCCGAGUUUUAGGUUAAGAUUGUUUUGACAUGAAGAUUUGCUCUAAACCUGAAAACUUGUGGGUUGCCAAAAGCUUGAUCUAAGUCUAAGUGUUCACCAAGUAUGAUAUGAAAAGGUUUUCAGCUGCUAUUUAUCUUGUUCCUGGUAAUACUAGAGUUCUGAAUAUUUAUCUUUUGAAAAAUCUAAAAUUACCACAUGAUGAGUUCUUGUAUGAUGAGUGUUGACGGUCCUUAAUGCUCACAUUUAACCAUCAACUAAUCAUGGAAAAUGAUCCAAAUGCAACCAACACCUAGACUUAGGGUUUUAUCUGACAGAAUUCUACGAGUUUUGGUGUUUGUCUAUUUCUGCAGGGGGUUAUCAGGAAAUACGGAGGAAAAGCCCACACAUCGGGUUUACAUAGAGAUAUUAACGUGUGCGUCAAUUUUCUAUCAUCUAGAAGACUCCAGAAGCCACGUGAACGAACGGGAGGCCGAUCAGGCCCGGUGGUAGGGCGCCCGCCCUCCCCCUUGGGCGCCCGCCUAGCUACAGGAACCUAUCAGCUUCAACUUCGCGGAUCGUGCUCUACCGACCUAAGGGAUCAAGGAAAACCGUGCGAUUAAUGUCGGUUUGAUCCGACGACCCAGAUUCACCUAAGGGGACUAUAUAAGCAGACCCACCAGCCCCUGGAGGCAUACCUCUUCUACAGAAUCAAAGUUAGGGUUUCAAUUCUUCAUCCAAGUAGAGAGGAUCCCUCUAGUUCAUCUAGUUCUAGUUCUAGUUAGUUCUAGUUGUAAUCUAGAAAAUAUGGAGAGAGAAGAAGAGAGCGGAGGAGGAGGAGCCGGAUCUGUCGGAUCUUCCUCAACACUAUACUUUUGCAGCAACUGGUUCGUUCUUCAUCGUUCUCCAAGUUUUUCAAUUCAUAAUUCCUGAGUUCUUUAAUUACUUUUAUUUACAUUCAUGUUAUUUAUUGGAUUCCCGCUUGCGUCAAGUGCUCUAGUCUUUAUAACGCUCGUGUAGUAAUUAAUAUAUUAGACGUGGUGUUUAGUCUUGCAAUUACCUGGAAUUGCACCCAAUCCUGCGGAUUGUUGUGGUAGCCCUAGGGUAGUGACAGCCCUAACGGUCGACGUAUUCCACCUCGUUCGGAUCGGUGUUUGUAGGACCGUAGUCAGAGCUUCCUAGCGCCCUUCUCAUCUCUUUCUGUGGUUAGUGUUCUGAUGUCCCGAAAUAAAUAAUCUUUAAAGUAAUUCUUGAUUCUUAGAUCAACUAGAGAACUCUCAGGAAACUUUCUCUCUUCCCCCCAAAAAUAAUUAUAUAGUUAUCCUUGGGCGAUCUUGAAUCUUAUUUAGUACACUCACGUUCUCUGUGGAAAAUCGAUACUAUGGAAUACUCCCGGGUGAAAGCUACAUCGGUAUCCGUGCGCUUGUGGAUUUUUCUGUUUGCGUUUAAAAUACCCAACAAGCUUUCUGGCGCCGUUGCCGGGGAACGGUAGCUGUGCUAGUUUCGAACCAAGUCGCCCGUGUAUCCUUUUCUUUUCCUUUUUUACCACAUUCACCUUACCAUUUUCACCACACCACAUGGAUUUCACUCCAAACAUUAAUGAGCAUGGAAUUUAUUUCAUAGCCACUUUAUUUACUCCAUGCUGAUAUGCAACAUGUUCCCAAUCUUUUGGUCUCUCCAACAUCACCACAUUCGAGAUAUCCAACCCCCUCUUCCUUUCUAUCUAUAAAAACUUUAAAAGGGAGGUUGUCGAUGCAUAUGUUUAUAAUAAAUUUUGCAGAUCUUGUUGAGUUGAUCUUGAUAUAAGUCAGCGUUGGAGGGGAAACCACUUCGCAGACAUAAAUUGAUGGUUUCCCAAGGACAAGCUUAGUGUCCUAAAAUAAGCACUGAUCAGAUCGUAACAUGAGCUUUUAAUUAUUUGCAACAUUACCUUGUGUAUUGAGCAUAUAAGGAUAAUUGUAAAAAAUUCCUUCGGGUAUUCUUGUCACUAACCUUUCCAGGAUUGGAGCAAGAAGAUUGGAUGAAUGACAAGCACAAGGUAUGUCCAACCAAUCAUCAUACAACAUUGAGUUAAAUUCAUCCAAACUUGAAUUUUGCAAAAUUCAAGCUUGGGGGAGUACUUUACAUAAAAACAUCAUUUGCCAUGUUGCUAUAUUGGUUGUCUCUACCUUUGAGACAAGCUCAAUUUGUUAAAUACUAAUCACACUACUUCAUCUCCACUUGAGUAGAUCUCUAUAAAUGCUCUCAUGCUACCUUUAUUUGCUUUAGUAUAUGACUUGGUUUGGAGUAGUUUCAUUUAUCUCUUAAUUAUGCAUGGUGCUUAGUUUAGGGCUGAUGAUCUUACUUCCAAGGGAGUUUAAAUUAAGCAUGAUGCUUAGGUUAAAAUGCCCUCCUAAAUCAAAUUAGACAUGGUGUCUAGGUCGAUCUUUGAGCCGAUAGUAUGCUAUAAUAGAUAUUGGAUAUUUUGUUGGACUAACCCCUGCAGAAAAACUUUCAAUAUCAACCUGGUGAAGGGUCGAGAUGGCGGACUAGAGGGGGGGGUGAAUAGUCCUUUCUAAAAAAUUAUUACACCGGCUAACCGAGACAAAUGCGGAAUUAAAACUAUCGGUCUAGCCAAGACUAUACCCCUCUAUCUAAGUUCUCUAGCACCUUGUAAAAGAUCCUAAACAAGCAAACAAGGUGCUACCUUAACAAGAGUUCACCUAACCAAUUCUAGGAGCAAGGUCACACAAGCCUAUGCCACUAGUACUUUGCAAAACGAGGAAGCUCCUACACAAACUAGUGAGGCAAAGCACACAAAGCCUAAGCUCACUAGCAAGCUCAAUAACAAGGCAACUAAUGCCAAAUUAGAGAGCGCAACUUACUUAGCUACACAAACUAAGUAAUGUGACUAACAAGGUUACACAAACCAAAUUAGUCACGCAAGGGAACUACUUCUAGCUACACAAGCAAGAAGGUAACUAGCAAGCUACACAAGCUAACUAAUUACAAGAGCAACUACACAAGCACAAAUAUAUGAAUGUAAGAACAAGCUUGUGUUAGGGACUUGCAAACCAAUGGGAAUAACAAUGUUGACACAAUGAUUUUCUCCCGAGGUUCACUUGGUUGCCACCAAGCUACGUCCCCGUUGUGUCGACCAACACUUAGUGGUUCGGCGGCUAAGAGGUGUUACACGAACCUCGUCCCCACUAGGACACCGCAAGAACCUACCCACAAGUGAGGUAGCUCAACGACACGCACGAUCCAAUAGAGUUGCUCUUCGCGAUCCCCGCGGGGUGAGCACCGUACCCCUCACAAUCUCUUCUCUGGAGCACCGCACAAUCUCCUUGCGUGCUUCGACGGAGUCACAAGCCACCAAGCCAUCUAGGAGGUGGCAACCUCCAAGAGUAACAAGCACCACCGGCUUGCAACACGAACACCUAGUGCCACUCGAUGCAAUCUCUCAAUGCAACGCACUAGAAUCGCUCACUCACACAAUCGGAUGAUCACUAUCAAGCAUAUGUGAGUUAGAGACUUCACUAGCACUCCCCAAGCAUGGACACUAAGUCCCAAGGGUGCUCAGCACCAGCCAUGGCCAGCCACCACUUCUAUUUAUAGCCCCAAGGGCUAAACUAGCCGUUGCCCCUUCACUGGGCGAAAACCGGCGGCACCGGACUCACUGUAGGGAGCCACCGGACGCUGGAACAGUGCGUCCGGUGCUUGAGAAACAGCCACGUGUCACUAGCCGUUUGAACUCAACCGUUGCUGCCAAUGGCUACUACGCACGCGCGCCUGUACAGCACCACCGGACGCUCUACUGCGUCACACCGGACGCGUCCUGUGCACACCGGACGCAUACGCAGAGAGUUUGUCAAAACGCAGGAUCACCGGACGCUACCACCGACACACCAGGUUGGCACCGGACCCUUACUCAGAGAACUCCGUAAAAGCUCAGAGACACUGGACGCACCAACAGCGUUCGAUCAGCGUCCGAUGCUGAUCGUCUGGUGCACAGCUCUCAGCAACCGAGAGCGCACCAGACGCUCCGGGGCAGCGUCCGGUGCCUCAGAACCGAGCGUCCGGUGAGUUUUCUUUCCACUGCCAAACAAGAAACUUUCCACCGGUAUACAAGAAACUUUCGACUAGCGCACAAGAAACUUUUCACCGGUAGACAAGAAACUUUCUACUAGCGCACAAGAAACUUUCCACCGGUAGACAAGAAACUUUCCACCAGCAUACAGGAAACUUUCCACUAGUGCACAAGAAACUUUCCACCGGUAGACAAGAAACUUUCUACCUCCUUAAGGUGUGCCAACACCAACAAGUGUACACCACCAAGUGCAAGUGUGUUAGCAUUUUCACAAACAUUUUCCCAAAGGAGUUAGCCUCUCAACUUGUCACGCCACUCGAUCCUAACACGUAUACAAAGUUAGAUCGCUCAAGUGGCACUAGAUGACCGAUAUGCAAACAAGUUUGCCCCUCUUGAUAGUACGGCCAUCUAUCCUAAAUCCGGUCAUAAACUUCUCUACACACCUAUGACCGGUGAAAUGGAAAUGCCCUAGGUUAUACCUUUGCCUUGCGCAUUCCAUUCCAUCUCCUCCAAUGUUGAUGCAACACAUGCACCAACCAAUCACCAAAUGAUAUGAUCCACUUCAUAUCAUCACAUGACCGUAUUGGUUCAUCGAUCUUGACCUCACUUCCUCUUCACCGUUGCCUUCGUACAUCGGCGCCAAGUCUUGCUCAAGCUUCACCGUCACACGCGGUCCCUCGCUUCAAAGCCUCCGACUUGCCCUUCACUCUUGCAACCGGUCCAUCAAGCCAAGCCUCAUCUUGAUCUUCUCCACCUUGGUCACAUGACUCCAUGUCAUGUCUCAUAUGCAACGAGCUCCUCCAUCAUCACAUCAUCACCUGUGGACUAAUCUCCUGUGUAUCUCAUAUAAACACUAUUAGUCCACCUAAGUUGUCACUCAAUUACCAAAACCAAACAAGGACCUUUCACCUGGGAAGUCCUGAGAUAAACUCACAUUGGAGACAAAGAGAGAGACACAUGAAGGUUAACAAUUUACACAAGGAGGGCAUAGCUCACAAGAGAUGAUCCAUGGAAGGUGCCACGAACAUGAUGCACAACCGCUAAGAAAGGAAAGCUUCCACAAGGUGAUAUUGUGCCAUCACUCUUCAAGUAAGGUAACAUCUUAAGGUACUUGACUAUCACUUUUAUAAGUUUCUCCUUGGUUCUGGCAUUCACAUGAAUAAAAGAGACAAACAUGUAUGAUUUACAACUCUAGAUUAACCAACCCAAUCGAUUCAACAUGUUUAGUCCUUCCACCUUUGUGAUCCCACACUCCUAAUCUUAUGAGCUAAAAUGUUGCACACUCAAUCUUUGAAAGAUAUAUAAAAAACAUAAGUAUAGAUAGAUUAUCUUUCCAUUAGGUUGAGCGAUCUGAUCUGACAAAUGUUUUAAAUGCUACACUCAUGAUCUUAUUAUACAUGAACUUUGUCUUGCUCACUAUGCUUAAGGUUAGAGAAGAACAAAUAUACUUUUGGUUCUGUUGGUGUUUUCCACCAACAGGGCCCAUGCACUUGAUCUCUACCUUGUCUCUAUGAGCAGGUACACUUUGAGCAAAAUAUGAAGGAGUUUUACAACUCCCAGACUGCACCAAGUGAAGAACCUAGAUCUACGAGCACAAACACACUGGAGAUACUAGACACUCAGGCAAUCAUUGCCCUAAGAUGCUUGAGGACGUAAUUACUGGAGUAACCCCGUUGUGGAAGUAAUUACUGACCUUCUGCCGGUCAAGAGAGACGAUCCAGGACGCCCCGUCAUCCUGAUCUUUAUCGGCAUGGUGGACUUCCCAGAAGCACUCUGCGACUUUGGCUCCAGCGUCAACAUUAUGCCCAGGGUACUCUAUGAAAAAUUCUUUACACAUCCUUUAUUAGAAACAACAAUGUGUUUGUAGGUUGCAGAUCGUACGCUAAGUUUCCAAAAGGGAAUAUUGAAGAACCUCUGCGUCCGAGUUGGUACCUUGUACGCCCCAGCAGACUUGGUGGUGACAGAGACUGAUACUGAUGAGAAGGCACUCAUCAUCCUAGGGAGGCCAUUCCUGAAACACGUCGGGAGCUGUCAUCUACGCUAGUGCUGCUAAGAUCAGUUUCUACAUCAAGGGGAAGAAGGAGACAUUUUCCUUCGAGAACAAGACUGCACAAAUCCCAGAGCAAUCCCAAUAUGAACCAAGGAAGAGGACCAACACGAGGAACAGGAACAAACAAAUUUGGACCAAGUCAGCUAAGAUGGUCACUGCAGUUCAAGGAGGUCAAGACCGUCGACUUAAGUCACCGUUCAAAAAGGAUGACCCAGCUCCAGAUGGCAGAUCAGAUAUUCUGAAAGGUUAUUGACAUGGGAGAAGAUAAGUACGAUCCACCCAUCAUCCUUGGGAGACCGUUCCUCAGCACCGUUAAAGCAAUCAUCUACAUUGGAACCAGAGAAGUCCACAUGCACUUCCCCUCUGAGAAGGUACACCGCUAUUUUACUGACCCUAACUAUAUCGUUGAAGACUCUAAGCAGGUCAGGACAAGAAGAAGACGAUGCAACCGCAACCAGAGGAGGCAAAUCAUCAAGGACGGAUGGGCAGACUAUGAAGGAGAAGUGGUAAGGUGAUGAGACCAUACCAAGGCAAUCUACAUUCAAGCAUCCACUCAAGGUGAAAGCUAAACUUAAUUCCAAAUCAUUUAGGUUUCCACAUACAAGGCUACUACUUGGUUUAUAUGAUUAUAGAUUCAAACACCUUGCUAUCAUGGAACAAGAAGAUUGCGAUGUUAUCACAACAUUACAAACCGAUGGCCUAGCACAACUAUUUGGAUCAGAAGAGUUAGAGUCGAGGACGACUCCUUUUCAAGAGGGGGAGAAUGAUAUGACCAUGCCAGCAAGCAAGAUGUCACAAGCUCCAAGUCCAGCAAGCAAUAUGUCACAAGCUCCAAGUCAAGCUACAACCACUCAAGUUUUACCUACACCGACACCAGCCCAAAUCAUCGAUGGACCGGUUACACGUAGUCGUGCAAAGAAGCUACAACAAGAGGUCCACACGCUACUUUGUGAGAUUCAUUUUAAUGUUAAUGAGAAUUAUAUUCUACCUAAGUGGUCUACCUUGAUUGUACUCAGGUAUAUAGAAGAAAAGAAGGAUUAAUGGGACCCUAAAGAACGAACCAGUGCAAGUCCUAGAAGACACGUCAAAAACGGACCAGUUGAAGUAAAAAACGGACCAGUGCAAAGAAAUCUUCAUAACUUUUUAAUCACAAAAGCUAUGAAGGCCCAUGAGGACUUGUUGGAAAGCUUGUCGAGUCUACUUUCUAAUGAAUAUAGUGGCGACCAGUUUGGAUACACCAUAUUGCCUGCAGACCAGAAUUAGUACAGACUGCUCAGAAGGUCAACAGUUUGUCGUGAUAGAAUAUUGGUACAACUUGCCAUGCAAAACUGUACCAAUAUACAACAUUUCGUGGUGCAUGGCAUACAUUGCUGGAAAGCUCUUCGAGUCUAGUUUCACACCCGAGAAACGGUUUGUCAUUUGGAGUUACCAAUUAAAAGUUAUGGUCAAUUUAUUGGAAACUGCUCUGGAGGCCAACAGUCACGCGAAGCCACUUCGGGAAUCCAUUUCGAAGGGACCUUUCACAUUGCCUUCUCUCAGAAACUCUAUUUCGUUUUCAUACCUAUCUAGCAGGGCUGUUGCUAGUAUAAAUAUCCCCUACCUCUAAGCUAUCAGCAACCUUUGAUCAUUUGAUAAACUACAUGAUAUUGCAGCCGUGCUGCUGAGUGCCUUACUCAACCUUUGUUCUUCCUUGUUCUUCUUGUACUUGUGAAGAGAAUCCUCUGGAUUCCCCUACUUCGUGCUCUACGGCUUCCGUUCGGCUGCGCCGUAUUGUGUGGAUUUGUUUCGGAUUGUGGUUCUGUGGUCGUUCGGAGAUCGAGUCGAAGUCUUCGUGGUUUCGGUGCCUCUCUUCUCGUCGCUUGUUCGCAUCCAACCUUUGUUAGGUAUAAAGCUAGUUACCCGCUGUUCGCAGCAAGUUAUCCUUGUUCUUUUGAUCUACUGUCGUGAAGAUCGGGCCACCCUCGUACCGAUUCAUAUCGGUAACCUAUCAAGUGGUAUCAAAGCUUUCGUUGUCACGGUAGAUCUCAUAAUCAUCCACAUAUCUACCUUUAGUUUAUCUAUUGUUUGUUACUGUUUUGUUCAUCACCUACAGUCCACUGAAAAGCCACAAAAAAAUCCUAGAGCCCUUUGACGGUACUGUUAUCUUGUGUUUUGUGUUCAUCAAGUUGCUAGUCACCCUCUUUACAUAUAUUGUGUUGUGUUUCAUUUGUUAUCCGCACCCCUGUUAGUAUAAAAAAAGAGUUCAAAAAAAAAUCAAAAAAAAAUUCAGAGAAAAGAAAAGAGAAAGAACAGAAAAGUAGAAGAAGAGGAAGUUGUAUUGCGGUUUGCUUGCUGAAAAAUUCAGUUUACAUAUUCAUGUUCUUGGAGAUUUAUAUGCCAGCAACAUUAUAUCAUUUGAGCACAUCAAAUCACUUGAUUUUCAGUACCGUAGCAUUCCUUGUUUAGCCACCUAUAGCUCCACCUAAAACUGAAACCAGGACAUUCGACUCAUAAUCCUUGCGACCUCAGAAUCACUUCUGUUGAGCCGCUACACUAGCACAAUUCACUAUCCUUGAGAACAGGAAAGAGCAUUGGUAAGUAAGAGGUGAGAUUGUGUGAUUUCAUAAAUUUACCCAUUCCACUAUAUCUUGCAUAAGUGCUAACAUGGCAGGAUCCAAUUCGAGCGUUCGUGGUGGUCGAUAUGGAGAAAAAGAAACAUCAGUUUCGCGGGCUGAGUUACGCCAACUACAAAACUCACUAGUGGAGGCCAUAGAGAAGAUGUUUGAUGAACGUCUUCCUUUGGUGCGCGGUCGCACUAAACAACAUAGCUCAGCCAACUCUCGCCGUGGUCUCUUUGGCCACAGUGGACAACAUGGAGGAGGUGCUCAUGGGCAUAGCAUUCGCCCCCGUGUGCUCAUUGAUGAUGAAGAUUACUGUGUGUCCCCUAAAAGAAAAAUUCAGCAAGAGUGCCACCAACCAAAAUUGAGUGAGAGAAAUCAAAAAGAAAAGAUGAGACAUUCCACCAUACGUGAGAAAGAGUGGCACCAACCAAAAUUCAGUGAGAGAGUUCAAAAUAAGAAGACGAGAGAUUCCACAAUAUUUGAGGAGAGCCACAAAACUCUAUGUGAGAGUGAUCCACAAAAAUUGAGAGAAAAUAGAGAUGAAUCAUGUGAGAAAUUAUUUACUUCUAACAUCAUAAUACCUUCUAUUCUUGUUCCUUUUGCGAUGCAGGUUCAUGAAGAAAAUGAUGUUGUGAAUUAUGAUCAGACCCCAAUCUUCGAUGAGGAAGAACAAGUGAUUGUCAAUGACAACGAUACACAUGCAUAUGUGGCUUCACAAGACGUUGAAGUAAUUGUGCAUCAAAACCUAUGUGAGAAUGAGAGCCACAUUGCCAAAAUGAGAGAGAGUGAAGACAAAGGAGAGUUGAGUGAUUCCACCCACUAUAAGAUUGAGAGUGUCAACAAUGAGAGUGUGAGGGAUACACCACAGAAAAAUAGAUAUUUAGAAUGCAGGCCAAGUGAGAAUAUCUUUGAAACUAACACUCUCAUCUCUACUUCUAGUUUUGUCUUUCCAAAUGUGCAGGUUGGUGAUGAGAAUAGGGAAGAGAUGGAUGCUCAAGACAGCACCAUACUUGUUGAGAGAAAUCAGAAGGUAGCCAUUCAACUAAACCCAUUGUGUGUUGCCCAAAACCUAAACCAUGACAUGGAUAACGGUAAUAUUUCAGAGGUGCAAUCGUUGGUACUUGCACCACCAAAAAGUCUAAAAGUUAUUGAAAAUAAAUCAGAUUUGAGUUUGCAAAAUAAAAUGGCAUGUAAUUAUGAUAAUACACAUGGUUUAAAUGAGAUUAACCAUACACGAAAUAUUUGCACUGAUUUGAUUAUUUCACAUGUUCACCCGUGUGCUGAAAUUUUGCAAGUUGAUAACCAAAGUUCAAUCAUACAUGAUCUUUUCUAUGGUUUGAUAUGGUUCAUGUACAUGAUGAUUUGCAUUCACAUGUGUGAUACGAUGCAUUAUGUUUCAAUACUCAUACAUCUUAGAGAUGGCUGCACAUUUGUCAACCCUUUAGUUAAUUCAUCAAAACCAUCUAAGAUCAACAAUGAAGGUAAAAAUUCGGAGAUUCAAACCUUGGUACAUGUAGAAUCAUUGGAUUUAAAAUACAUGAAAAAUAAAUCAAAUCUGAUUGUUCAACGCAUACUGAGUACUUGUGAUAUCACUGUUUCAGCAAUAAAACAUGACCAAAAUAUUUGUGCUGAUUUGACUCGAACUCAUGUUGAUACAAGUGCUGAGUUUCUUUUUGAUGAGAGUCUUUGUGCUUUGAAUAAUCCUUGAAAAACUUCAUAUAACAACAAACAACACCUCAUCGAGUCGGUUACUUGUGCUGAUUUGUUUACAAGGAUAUCUCCUCUUGAAUGUUUGUGGUAUACUAUGCUUAACAUGCCUAUCAAUAUCGAACAAAUGCUAGAGAAAAUUUCUAACAUAACAUCUUUGAGUUCAAUGAAUACUACUCAUAGCUUCCAGUUUACAUUUGUCUUGAUUGGAGAACAUGUUGUAGAUACCUUCCAGGUUCAUGCAAUUUGUGUAACAUAUAACAAGCUUGCUGAUUUAGAAUCAACAAUGUUGAGAGAUAAACAAAGUGAGAAAUCUUUUAAGAUGCAACAAAUGCUUGGUGCUUAUGGUUUCGAUCAAUUCAUGUUGUCAGCAUGUUCGUACCAUCCACUUAAAGAUAGAAAUCUUGUGCAAAGCAAAGCCUAUACACCGAAAAGUUAUUCAUCCACACCUUGGAGCAUUGAGUUUAAAAAUUAUACUUCUAAACCAUUGAAUAAAUUUUGCUGCCACAAUAAUUUUUGAAAUAACAUUAGUUCUCAACAUCCAUUUGAUGAAAAGUUUGAUCUUCUAAAGAUAAAACAUGACAACAUGAAUCAAAUGAUUGGAUUGGAAGAAAUUUUGGUGCUACCAUCCUCUAAACUGUUUGCAGGUUCACCAAAGUUGAGAGAAUGUUUCUUACAUGGAAAAGGAAAUAAUGCAAAAAUAAUUCAAAAUGAAACAAAUGAACAGAACAAAAGGAAUGAUUAUUGGAAUUAUCAAGUACGUCCACCCUCUAUUUUGUCUAAGCUGUUUUCAGGUAAACAAAAGUCGUGGACGACUUUUCUUGAAGGGAGGGAGGAUGAUGAGACCAUACCAAGGCAAUCUACAUUCAAGCAUCCACUCAAGGUGAAAGCUAAACUUAAUUCCAAAUCAUUUAGGUUUCCACAUACAAGGCUACUACUUGGUUUAUAUGAUUAUAGAUUCAAACACCUUGCUAUCAUCGAACAAGAAGAUUGUGAUGUUAUCACAACAUUAUAAACCGAUGGCCUAGCACAACUAUUUGGAUCAGAAGAGUUAGAGUCGAGGACGACUCCUUUUCAAGAGGGGGAGAAUGAUAUGACCAUGCCAGCAAGCAAGAUGUCACAAGCUCCAAGUCCAGCAAGCAAGAUGUCACAAGCUCCAAGUCAAGCUACAACCACUCAAGUUUUACCUACACCGACACCAGCCCAAAUCAUCGAUGGACCGGUUACACGUAGUCGUGCAAAGAAGCUACAACAAGAGGUCCACACGCUACUUUGUGAGAUUCAUUUUAAUGUUAAUGAGAAUUAUAUUCUACCUAAGUGGUCUACCUUGAUUGUACUCAGGUAUAUAGAAGAAAAGAAGGAUUAAUGGGAGCCUAAAGAACGAACCAGUGCAAGUCCUAGAAGACACGUCAAAAACGGACCAGUUGAAGUAAAAAACGGACCAGUGCAAAGAAAUCUUCAUAACUUUUUAAUCACAAAAGCUAUGAAGGCCCAUGAGGACUUGUUGGAAAGCUUGUCGAGUCUACUUUCUAAUGAAUAUAGUGGCGACCAGUUUGGAUACACCAUAUUGCCUGCAGACCAGAAUUAGUACAGACUGCUCAGAAGGUCAACAGUUUGUCGUGAUAGAAUAUUGGUACAACUUGCCAUGCAAAACUGUACCAAUAUACAACAUUUCGUGGUGCAUGGCAUACAUUGCUGGAAAGCUCUUCGAGUCUAGUUUCACACCCGAGAAACGGUUUGUCAUUUGGAGUUUCCAAUUAAAAGUUAUGGUCAAUUUAUUGGAAACUGCUCUGGAGGCCAACAGUCACGCGAAGCCACUUCGGGAAUCCAUUUCGAAGGGACCUUUCACAUUGCCUUCUCUCAGAAACUCUAUUUCGUUUUCAUACCUAUCUAGCAGGGCUGUUGCUAGUAUAAAUAUCCCCUACCUCUAAGCUAUCAGCAACCUUUGAUCAUUUGAUAAACUACAUGAUAUUGCAGCCGUGCUGCUGAGUUCCUUACUCAACCUUUGUUCUUCCUUGUUCUUCUUGUACUUGUGAAGAGAAUCCUCUGGGUUCCCCUACUUCGUGCUCUACGGCUUCCGUUCGGCUGCGCCGUAUUGUGUGGAUUAGUUCCGGAUUUUGGUUCUGCGGUCGUUCGGAGAUCGAGUCGAAGUCUUCGUAGUUUCGGUGCCUCUCUCUCCGUCGCUUGGUCGCAUCCAACCUUUGUCAGGUAUAAAGCUAGUUACCCGCUGUUCGCAGCAAGUUGUUGACGGUCCUUAAUGCUCAUAUUUAAUCAUCAACUAAUCAUAGAAAAGGAUACAAACGCAACCAACACCUAGACUUAGGGUUUUAUCUGACAGAAUUCCACGAGUUUUGGUGUUUGUCUAUUUCUGCAGGGGGUUAUCAGGAAAUACGGAAGAAAAGCCCACACGUCGGGUUUACAUAGAGAUAUUAACGUGCCGCGCAAUUUUCUAUCAUCUAGAAGACUCCAGAAGCCACGGGACCGAAGCGGAGGCCGAGAGGGCUCAGGCACAGGGCGCCCGCCCUCCCUUACUGGGCGCCCGCCCUCCCCCCUGGACCAAUCAGGGCGAAGUUCGGGGAUCAUGCUCCACCGACCUAAUACUUCAAGGAAAACUACACGAUCAAUGUCGGUUUGAUCCGACGGCCCAGAUUCACUUGAAGGGACUAUAAAACCAGACCCCCUGGCCCCUGGAGAUCAUACCUCUUCUACAGAAUCAAAGCUAGGGUUUCAAUUCUUCAUCCAAGUAGAGAGGAUCCCUCUAGUUCUUCUAGUUCUACCUCUAGUUCAUCUAGAUCUAGUUCUAGUUCAUCUAGUUCUAGUUCUAGUUCCUCUAGUUCUAGUUCUAGUUAGUUCUAGUUGUAAUCUAGAAAAUAGGGAGAGAGAAGAGGAGAGCGGAGGAGGAGGAGGAGGAGCCGGAUCUGUCGGAUCUUCCUCAACAUUGUACUUUUGCAGCAACUGGUUCGUUCUUCAUCGUUCUCCAGGUUCUUCAAUUCAUAACCCUGAGUUCUUUAAUUACUUUUAUUUACAUUCAAGUUAUUUAUUGGAUUCCCGCUUGCAUCAAGUGCUCUAAUCUUUGCAACAUUAGAGUAGUAAUUAAUAGAUUAGACGUGGUGUUUAGUCUUGCAAUUACCUGGAAUUGCACCCAAUCCUGCGGAUUGUUGUGGUAGCCUUAGGGUAGUGACAGCCCUAACGGUCGAUGUAUUCCACCUCGUUCGGAUCGGUGUUUGUAGGACCGUAGUCAGACCUUCCUAGCCCCCCUUCUCAUCUCUUUCUGUGGUUAGUGCUCUGAUGUCCCGAUAUAGAUAAUCUUGAAGUAAUUCUUGAUUCUUAGAUCAACUAGAGAACUCUCAGGAAACAUCCUCUCUUCCCACCAAAAAUAAUUAUAUAAUUAUCCUUGGGCGAUCUUGGAUCUUAAUUAGUACACUCACGUUCCCUGUGGAAAAUCGAUACUCUGGAAUACUCCCGGGUGAAAGCUACAUCGGUAUCCGUGCGCUUGCGGAUUUUUCUGUUUGCGUUUAAAAUACCCAACAAGCUUUCUGGCACCGUUGCCGGGGAACGGUAGCUGUGCUAGUUUCGAACCAAGUCGUCCGUGUAUCCUUUUUCUUUUCUUUUUUACCACACUCACCUUACCAUUUUCACCAUACCACAUGGAUUUCACUCCUAUCUAUAAAUUCUUUGCUCCAAAGGGCGAGUUAUUAGAGCCACCACCAUCAUCACAUCCAAUUCUUACAGAUGGCUACGACCUCGGCCCUGAUCUAAUAGCCAUGAUUCAGGAGCAACCCUUCUCUGGGCAAGUAGAUGAAGAUCCAUACACCCACCUUAGAGAAUUCGAGCAGUUGUGCUCUUGCCGAUCUAUUUCCGGCAGGACACAAGAAACCCUUAAAUGGAAAUUAUUUCCGUUCUCCCUUUUGGGAAGAGCAAAAAAGUGGUAUGCUCAUUCUGUAGGAGGCGUUAAUGGAAGUUGGGAUGAACUUCGGGACAACUUUUGUCUCGCUUUCUUCCCACUUUUUCGAAUUGCUGACCUUAGAAUUGAAAUUCUUACAUUCAAACAAAGAGAGAAGGAAACUUUAGGAGCAGCUUGGGCUAGGUUCACAAGCCUUACCAAUUCCGGUCCAAACCUUUCCCUGCCUGACCAUGUACUGUACUACCACUUUUAUCGUGGUCUAAACAAGGAAGCUGCUCUUCACCUCGACAUUGCUUCAGGAGGCUCAUUCACACACAAACUCACAGAUGAGGGGAGAGCCAUCCUAGAAAGAAUCCUUGAAAAUACCCCUUACACAGGCAUUUAUGAUGAGUUUCCUGAAGAAGAAAAGGAAGUCGAACCUGAUCCUAAACCAAAAGACGAGGAACUUGCAACCAAGUUAGAAAUUCCACCUGACCCACCUAUUAAUUUGGUUGUAGAGAAACCUCCUGAUAAGGGAAUGCAAAACCAACUAAAGGAUGAUGAACCACCACCUUUAGAGCAUCCCUUUGAAUUCGAGGAAGAUCUUUUUGAAGAUUAUGGAAACACCUCGAAUUUUCCUAUCCAAACACGACCUCUACCAAGGACCUCUCAAUCCGUUCUAAGAGUAGAAUCUGUUGACAUAGAACACAUUAAAAGCCUUUCGGCUAUUCUGAGUUAUGAAUGGCUAACAGAAGCGGAGCUAUCCCCUGAGGUAGCUCGAAUCAUCAUUCCUUCAACCAUUCUUCUGUGCCAAAUUAGAGGGUCCCCUAGGAAGGUCCACUACAAUCCAUAUGUUGGGAUAAAUGUUAUUUCCAGGGAGUUAGCUGGCACUCUUUAUCCCAACGAGUCCAUAACCCCAUCUCAAAAACUUUUACAAAGUUCAUCUAGAUUAAUUCUAGAAAGCCAUGGGGUAUUAAGGGCAGUCCCUGUUAGAAUCAAGGACUCUGGAAUAUGUCUAGAUUUUCACAUUUUUGACAUACCGGAGAUUCCUCUCUUGAUUGGCAGACCAAUCAUGAAACUUCUACAGGAACAACCACAACGAGGUCAUUUAGACUUCAAGGUUGGGAAUUCCACUAUUGUUGUUCCUCUUGUUAGAUCAAUUAACAUGAUAGUCGAACCCAAACUUGACCCAGAUCCUAUUGAGGAGAUCUUAAUGGUGACUCAAGAGGAGAUGACCCAACCAUUCUUUAAUCAUGAACACUUUGUUCAAGAAGAAGAAGAGUUGGUAGAACCCGUUGAGCUAGAUAAAAAUGAACAACCUUCACCUCCUUCGAUAGAGUUAAAACCUCUUCCUUCUGGCCUUAGAUAUGUCUUCUUGCACAAUAACCCAAAAACUCCAGUAAUUAUCAGUGACAAGCUUCCCGAUUAUGAAACACAACAACUUGUCACUGUUCUUGAAAGACAUAGAUCAGCAUUUGGCUACUCUCUCGAGGAUCUCACGGGCAUUAGUCCCAUUCUCUGCACUCAUCGUAUCCCUAUUGAUCCCAAUUCUACACCUUCAAGGCAACCACAACAGAGACUUAACAAUGCUAUGCGAGAGGUUGUUAAGAAAGAGGUCCUCAAACUCUAUCAUGCUGGGAUUAUUUAUCCUAUGCCACAUAGUGAGUGGGUUAGCCCUGUCCAAGUAGUGCCAAAGAAAGGAGGAAUGACGGUCGUUAGGAAUGAGAAGAAUGAACUCAUCCCUUAACGAAUUGUCACUGGGUGGCGCAUGUGUAUUGACUAUCGAAAACUCAAUAAGGCUACAAAAAAAGAUCACUUUCCGUUACCCUUCAUUGAUGAAAUGUUGGAACGGCUUGCAAACCACUCUUUCUUUUGCUUCCUUGAUGGUUAUUCUGGAUAUCACCAAAUCCCAAUCCACCCAGAUGACCAAGAAAAGACUACCUUUACAUGCCCAUAUGGAACUUAUGCGUACCGACGAAUGUCGUUCGGAUUGUGCAAUGCUCCAGCUUCUUUCCAACGGUGCAUGAUGUCUAUUUUCUCGGACAUGAUUGAGAAGAUCAUGGAGGUUUUCAUGGAUGAUUUUACCGUCUAUGGCAAAACCUUCGAUCAUUGUUUGGAGAAUUUAGAUAGAGUCUUGCAGCGAUGUGAAGAAAAGCACUUAAUCCUGAACUGGGAGAAAUGCCAUUUUAUGGUUCAGGAAGGAAUAGUGCUAGGACAUAAAGUGUCCGAGCGUGGUAUAGAGGUGGACAAAGCAAAGAUUGAAGUUAUUGAAAAACUUCCACCUCCCACGAAUGUGAAAGGAAUCCGUAGCUUUUUGGGACAUGCAGGGUUCUAUAGACGCUUUAUCAAGAACUUCUCUCAAAUUGCUAGACCCCUAACUAGUCUUCUAGCUAAGGAUGCACCUUUCAUCUUUAGUGAUGAGUGUCAUGAAUCUUUUCAAACUCUUAAGAAAGCACUCAUUUCAGCCCCGAUUAUCCAACCACCUGAUUGGAAUCUUCCUUUUGAGAUCAUGUGUGAUGCUAGCGAUUUUGCGGUUGGGGCCGUUUUAGGACAAACCAAGGAUAAAAAGCAUUAUGCCAUAUCCUACGCUAGCAAAACCUUGUCUGGACCACAGCUCAAUUACACUACAACUGAAAAAGAGCUUUUGGCUGUUGUCUUUGCUAUAGACAAGUUUAGAUCUUACUUAGUGGGGGCGAAGAUAAUCAUCUAUUCAGACCAUGCUGCUCUCCAGUACCUCCUCACUAAGAAAGAUGCUAAGCCUCGUCUAAUUCGAUGGAUUCUUCUACUCCAAGACUUUGACAUAGAAAUCCGAGAUAGGAAGGGAGUAGAGAAUUCUGUAGCCGACCACUUAUCUAGGCUUCAAUAUAAGGAAACACAUGAUGAGCUUCCCAUAAAUGACUACCUAAGGGAUGACACCCUGCUUAAGAUAACACAUGCAGAUCCAUGGUAUGCAGACAUCGUAAACUUUAUAGUAAAAGGCUAUGUCCCACCUAGUGCAAACAAAAGGAAGUUGCUUCAUGAUAGUCGUUUCCACCUUUGGGAUGAGCCAUAUCUUUUCCGAGUCUGCGCUGAUGGACUCUUGACAAGGUGUGUUCCUAUGGUUGAGGCUACUCAAAUUAUGGAAAGAUGUCAUGCCUCGCCAUAUGGAGGACACUAUGGAGCAUUUCGGACACAUGCUAAAAUUUGGCAAAGUGGUUUUUUCUGGCCAACGAUGUAUGAAGAUACAAAGGACUUUGUCAGGAGAUGCCACCGAUGUCAAAAACAUGGGAAUAUCAACUCACGAAAUGAAAUGCCUCUCACAAAUAAUCUUCAAGUAGAACUUUUCGAUGUAUGGGGCAUUGAUUUCAUGGGGCCAUUCCCUAUGUCCGGGAAUUGCGAAUAUAUCUUAGUAGUUGUGGACUACGUGUCCAAAUGGGUAGAAGCCCUACCUUGUCGAUCAGCUGAUUCAAAACAUGCCAAGAGAAUGUUCCAUGAAGUAAUCUUUCCUCGCUUUGGUAUACCCCGGAUAGUUAUAAGCGAUGGAGGUUCUCACUUCAUCGACAAAAUCUUCCGAAAGUACUUAGCCGAUCAUGGAGUUCGACACAACGUCGCAACACCAUACCAUCCUCAGACUAGCGGUCAAGCCGAAACAUCUAACAAACAAAUCAAAAAUAUUUUACAAAAGACCGUAGAUGAGAUGGGUAAGGGGUGGAAGGACAAACUUCCUGAUGCUCUUUGGGCAUAUAGAACUGCAUUCAAAACACCCAUAGGCAUGUCACCUUAUCAACUUGUAUAUGGAAAAACUUGUCAUCUGCCUGUGGAAGUAGAGUUUAAGGCUCAUUGGGCAAUCAAGAAAUGGAACAUGGAUCUCCACCUCGCUAGUGAGAAUCGUCUGAUGCAACUAUCUGAGCUAGAAGAAUGGAGAGAGAAAGCCUACCACAAUUCAAGGAUGUAUAAAGAGAGAACAAAACGAUGGCAUGAUAAGAGAAUCAAGCACAAGGAGUUUAAGUCUGGAGAUAAGGUUCUACUAUUCAAUUCAAGAGUUAAGCUCUUUGGGCAUGGUAAGCUACGAAGUAAGUGGGAUGGACCAUACAAGGUUAUUGACACUUCAACUCAUGGAGCCAUUACCAUCCAAGAUGACAUAGGUAACACUUUUAAGGUAAAUGGUCAACGCUUGAAAAUCUAUCUUGAGCCACAAAACAACCUGGUAGAGGAACUUGAUGUGAUUGAGUUCAUAGAAUUCUCACAUUAAGCUCUCAUAAGCUCUAGAAAAUUACCUAACCCUUAACAUGUUCCACAAGUUUUGUUGUCUAUUUGGGUUGUGAAGGAUUUUGAGGCCUAAGAAGAGUGAGACCGAACAUGCAGGCCACAAGAGUGAACGACUAUGUCAACAUCCAGCUUGGGGGAGGCACCCCCACGUGUAUCUAGAUAAGUAUUACUUUUCUUUCUUGGUUUUAUUUACUAGUAUUCAGAAAUAAAUAAAAAAAUGCAUAACCAUGAAACCAAACAAAGUUUUUCUUUUGAGUAAUAUACAAUAGUUUUGUGUAAUCCUAAGUUUUAAAUAAAGUAAAAAGAAAGUUUGAUUCAAGUCUAGGUAAUUGACAAACAUGAUAUGAGCAGGUCUGAGCUACUAUUUAACUUGUUCCAAGUUUUGCUAGAGUUUUGGAGAUUUUAUCUUUUGAAAACCUAAAAAUUCAUAAAAAAAUAUAUGAGAUCAUAAUACCUAGAGUCUUAUAAGAUAUAAAUAUUAAAACUGUGGGCACUUGCUUUGUUCAAGCCAUUGUUAAUUCUUGUAGUUUUGGUUGAGAGAAUUAUCAUGCUCCAAAGAUCAAGAUCCUUUUGUUUUAAAAAUAAAAAAAAGAUUCACUCUUCCGAAGUAUUAUUGCGUUAGAGGCAUAGGACUAUGAAAAAAUUUGAUUAGAAAAAAAAAGAGAGUGAGACGAGAGGUAAAAAUGGACAAGUGUCCGAAGUAGAAUUAGGGGUACAAAGAUACCCACCUGAGUGGAAAAAAUGGACAUGUGUCCGACAGUAGAAUUAGGGGUACUUGCUGCCUACUUGAAAAAAAAGAGAGACUGAAAAAAAAGAGAAAAAAAAUGAAAAAAAAAUAGCCCAUGGUCCCUCUAAUAAGCAAUAUGCCAGUAAGAGAUGACAAACUUCUCAAAAAGGUCAAAGGUCUUGAUCUAGGAGUAUGACAUUCCUCUCCCUUACUCCGAGCAUUGACAUAGCAAAAUGCAAAGUAAGUAUGCUAAAACUCUUAAAGCUCUACUUAUAUAUAUCUUUCAAGAAAAGGCAAAUGCCUCGGUUUUAUUUUGCAGACUUAUAAAAAAAACUCCAGAGCAAAGGUAAGACAGAAGAACUUGAGACAUAGUGCUUGACUUGAUUGUUCUGUUUUUCAAUCACUUAAGACCUUAGUGAUAACUUAAAAACCCUGUAGUAAGAGGCAUAAAAGUAACCCCUGUUUUAUUGUUGAUUUUAGCUUUGCUCAGGGACGAGCAAAGGUUAAGCUUGGGGGAGCUUGUUGACGGUCCUUAAUGCUCAUAUUUAAUCAUCAACUAAUCAUAGAAAAGGAUCCAAAUGCAACCAACACCUAGACUUAGGGUUUUAUCUGACAGAAUUCCACGAGUUUUGGUGUUUGUCUAUUUCUGCAGGGGGUUAUCAGGAAAUACGGAAGAAAGGCCCACGCGUCGGGUUUACAUAGAGAUAUUAACGUGCCGCGCAAUUUUCUAUCAUCUAGAAGACUCCAGAAGCCACGGGACCGAAGCGGAGGCCGAGAGGGCUCAGGCACAGGGUGCCCGCCCUCCCUUACUGGGCGCCCGCCCUCCCCCCUGGACCAAUCAGGGCGAAGUUCGGGGAUCAUGCUCCACCGACCUAAUACUUCAAGGAAAACCACACGAUCAAUGUCGGUUUGAUCCGACGGCCCAGAUUCACUUGAAGGGACUAUAAAACCAGACCCCCCUGGCCCCUGGAGAUCAUACCUCUUCUACAGAAUCAAAGCUAGGGUUUCAAUUCUUCAUCCAAGUAGAGAGGAUCCCUCUAGUUCUUCUAGUUCUACCUCUAGUUCAUCUAGAUCUAGUUCUAGUUCAUCUAGUUCUAGUUCUAGUUCCUCUAGUUCUAGUUCUAGUUAGUUCUAGUUGUAAUCUAGAAAAUAGGGAGAGAGAAGAGGAGAGCAGAGGAGGAGGAGCCGGAUCUGUCGGAUCUUCCUCAACAUUGUACUUUUGCAGCAACUGGUUCGUUCUUCAUCGUUCUCCAGGUUCUUCAAUUCAUAAUCCUGAGUUCUUUAAUUACUUUUAUUUACAUUCAAGUUAUUUAUUGGAUUCCCGCUUGCAUCAAGUGCUCUAAUCUUUGCAACAUUAGAGUAGUAAUUAAUAGAUUAGACGUGGUGUUUAGUCUUGCAAUUACCUGGAAUUGCACCCAAUCCUGCGGAUUGUUGUGGUAGCCUUAGGGUAGUGACAGCCCUAACGGUCGACGUAUUCCACCUCGUUCGGAUCGGUGUUUGUAGGACCGUAGUCAGACCUUCCUAGCCCCCCUUCUCAUCUCUUUCUGUGGUUAAUGCUCUGAUGUCCCGAUAUAGAUAAUCUUGAAGUAAUUCUUGAUUCUUAGAUCAACUAGAGAACUCUCAGGAAACUUCCUCUCUUCCCACCAAAAAUAAUUAUAUAGUUAUUCUUGGGCGAUCUUGGAUCUUAAUUAGUACACUCACGUUCCCUGUGGAAAAUCGAUACUCUGGAAUACUCCCGGGUGAAAGCUACAUCGGUAUCCGUGCGCUUGCGGAUUUUUCUGUUUGCGUUUAGAAUACCCAACACAAGUUAUCCUUGUUCUUUUGAUCUACUGUCGUGAAGAUCGGGCCACCCUCGUACCGAUUCAUAUUGGUAACCUAUGAUAAGGUCUGAAGACAUACAGCUUGAACAGAACUGUCCUGAGGAGACCGUGAACAGAAAUGUCCUGAGGAGACCGUAGCACCGAGUCAGGUGUGGAGAGAGAAGAUAGUUAUACACGAAGAGAAGGCUCCACCGGAACCACUGACUACGCCAUCCAGCAAAUUCCAGGACGACUGAGAAAACAGAGAGUAACGUUCGGAUGACUUAAAAACACCGAACGCCUCGCCAAGAGGUAAACUUGGUAGUUAUCCUUUUUCUUUCAAUUAUUUAAAAUAGUUUGCUUAGUUAAUCAGGUUCAUAUCAUCUUGAAAAGAAAAUAAAAAUGUUAAAAAUAGUAAGCCUCAUGUGAGUAUGCUCAUGGCAUAAAACCUAUAAGUACAAUCACUGUGGUGGCGUAAAAAUGAAAUGAAUAUAUUCCUGUCGUAUAAAAAUAAAAUUAUAAAAAUAAAUUUAUGAUCUUAUUAAAAAGAGUGUAACAUUUAUUGGCGAGGCUCAACAUGAUAAAGGCUAAGAGAUUUUAUGCUAACACUUAACCAGUUCCACAAAGCUUUGUUGUCUAUUCGAGCUCCACAGAAUUCAAGGAUCAAAGAAGACUAGCAGACGGAGGACAUCCUAAUCGCUGUUAGGGUGCUGCUGACAUUCAAAUACACCUCCGCCACCUGCUAGCUACAUCAGGAGAAAUUACGUCAAAAUCCAGCUUGGGGGAGAGUACCCCCAUUUAUCCUGCUAAGUGUUUCUACUCACGUUUAUAUUUUACUCAAAUAAUAAAAAGAUGAAUAAUCAUAAAAACCCAAAUAAAGAUUUUUGUGUUUAUAUAUAUAUAUAUAUAUCUUUGCUUAGUUUGCUAAAUAAAUAAAUAAAUAAAGUUUGCUAUGAACCCUCAUGAUAAGCUCUCACAUGGAAAUAAUGAAUAGUUGCUCUGCCAUGACUAGUUCUCAAAAUUGAAAUCUCUCUCAAGUUUAGGUAUGACUGUUAUUAAUUAAGAUUUGCUUUAAACGUGAACUUGUGGGAAGAGUACUUGAUCUAAAGUCUAAGUUGUUAAUGGAUAUGAUAUGGGAAGGUUGAGCUACUGUUUAUCUGUUCCUAGAGAUGCUAGAAUUCUGGAGAAUUUUAUCUUUGAAAAUCUUUAAAAUAACACAUGAUGAGUUUCUGUAUGAUGAGAGUUUAAAUUUCUACCACAGCCAUAUAUACAAGCUUGCUAGACUUUGAGCCACAGAUUUACUUUUUACUGCUUAUGAGCAUUGAGUGUGGUCAAGCUGUGUAGACCCUUAGGAGCUUGUCAUGCGGUUAAAAUCAAGAUUCGCUUGCACGUUCACUCAUACAUGCUGCUUCUACUCCGGAAGUACGCAUCCACAUAUAUCCAGCCAUUUCCAUCUCCAGAACCACCCAAAAAUAUUCUACUCCUAAUCUGGGAGAGAAUAGCCAAAAACAUUAUCGUAUCCUUGUUAUUCCCCGUGAAAUAAAUGCUCGAGAUAUUUUGGUUACUACCACUUGCUACAUUAUUCCAGGAGGGUGAGUGCUCUGGAAAUAAAAAGGGGCAAGUGCCUGGAACCUCGAAAUAAAAGAAAAAGUGAGACGAGAGGUAAAAAUGGACAAGUCUCCGAUAGUAGAAUUAGGGGUACAAGAUACCCACCUGAGAGAAAAGAAAAAUAAAAUAUAGAGCAUCUCAUUCGCCUCAAAAGCCUCAAGUGCAAGGAAGGUAUGUACCCCCUCAAAAGAGCAAAAGUAGAAUUAGACUUUCACCAUUAUUUUCACCAUGAUUACCAUUCAUUCGCCACACAUGCACAUCUUGAUUUGACUUAUUGACUUGUUCUUCUGGAUCCAUGGUUUGACUAUGCAAUAAAUGUCUUGUAAGUAUGUAUUAGCUGUCUCCCAUCUAUGAGCUCCAGAUAUCAAAACCUUAUUAGAGUAGGGUGAGAGAGAAGGCAAUGCCACUAUGCCUCAUACCAAAAAUACCACAUCCUUUGAGAAGGCAUAUACCAUUACUGCCUUGGUAAGGAUCCAGAAAUACCACAAAAGAGAGACUAGAGAGAGUCAUAUAAGGAAUCUCUGAGUUUUAUUUAAAAAUCUACAAAAACUCUAGAGCUAUAGUUAAUCGAAGAACAAGAGACAUGGCGCUUGACUAGACCGUUCUAUCUUUUAACUACUCAAGACAAAAGUGACGGUUGCAAGCCCCAUGGUGGAAGGUAAAAUGUGUAAGUUUAAAUCUUAACAGUUUACCCUAACCCAG